rnacentral:lncRNA from 1 species
AAAAAAAAAAAAAAAAAAAGUAUCACCGUAGUCUAUAGUCUAUAGUAGGAAAUGCAUUAUAUUCAAAGGGGUCAUGUAUGUGGUGAAAUCUCAUUCGAAGGUCAUUUGCAAUUGAUUAAAAAUUCUCCUUUUCUUACUUUCAUUUUUUUCUCUAUACUAAAAUACCUCUUGCGGUGAUUUGCGACAUUAAUUUUAUGUUACCAAAAUCAAUUUUGACCUAUCCAAAAAUGAAACGAAACUUACACUUCAUAGUAGAAGUUUCCCACGGUACUAGUCAUAAAACUUUCUUAUAUUUAUGUCAUAAAUGCAGUUUUAAUCAUUUUAUUUUUAAAAACAAUGGUGUUUUUUUUAGAUAGACGAAAUGACAAAGUCAUUAUAAACUCACACACACAUAAGUGGAGGUGCCGGGAUUCGAACCCCGAUCAUGGCAUCCAGACUAACAAUUUCGGCAUUUUACCAGUUGAGCUAGGACUUGCACAUAAAAAAAAUUGACUUUUUGUUUCUCUAAUUUAUUUAUUUGGGAAUUUCGGUCUCUUAUUUCAUUUUCAAAUAAUUUUUCAUAAUGAUGUCUAUUCAUUUAUGAUAUUACUGUUUGAUGACUGAUAGUUUAUAGCGGAUAGCUGAUGACUUAUAAUUGAUAAGCUAAUGAAAGGUAAAAUUAGCGGUUCUGUUAAUUAAUAAAUGUAAAAUGACAUAAAAAGGACAUUCUUGAUUCAUAAUAAAAUCUACAUUAACUAAUACAUUUUGGAUAUUUGGUAAUUUCUUGUUUUUAAUAAAAUUGGUAAUUUAAGUAUUUAUAUUUUAUUAAAUUAGUUUUUUUGGCUAAAAUAUUAUUUUAAAAUUAUUUCAUUUCAGUUUUUAAACUUUAUAAAAAUCAAUUGUAAAAUUUUAUUUUAAAUCAAAAUACAAAAUAAACCACCCAUAAGAUAAAAAAAAAAAAAAAAAAAAGUGUCAAAACAAAAACAAGAUAUAUAAACUCGUGGGUGUAACGUCCUAUUUUAUUAUUUGAAUAUUUUAUUGAGUUUAGAGUCUAUUUUUAUGUUGGGAAAACGGGGUGUUACAAUUGAUAUCAGAGCAGUUCGGUCCGUCCGACCAAGUAGUUGAGUCAUUUGUGUUGUGUGACAGUUGAAUACUGUCGUUGUGUUUUUCUAAUUAAUGGCUAUGUUUUAUUAUGUGAUAAUGUUUGACUGACUAACUUUAACGUGAUUUAUGUGUAUUGUUUGAAGUUUCUAUUUUAUUAUAUAUAGUUAUGAUAUUUAAGCAAUAAUUAAAUUCAUUUUCUCUUGUGCUUUGAAUUUCGAGGAUGAAAUUCUUUUAAGGGGGUAGAGUUGUAACGUCCUAUUUUAUUAUUUGAAUAUUUUAUUGAGUUUAGAGUCUAUUUUUAUGUUGGGAAAACGGGGUGUUACAGUGGGUGUGUUCUAGCAAAUCCAUAUAUAUAUAUAUAUAUAUAUAUAUAUAUAUAUAUAUAUAUAUAUAUAUAUAUAUAUAUAUAUAUUAACUUUUUAGUUAUAAUUUGCUAAAACACUCCCACAUAAAGUGGGUGUUCUAGCAAAUCCUUUAGACAUUUGUUAGAAUACACCCACUUAUUUUUUAGAAGGAGUAUUUUAGCAAAUGAAUAACUAAAAAGUGGUUAAAUAGACCUUAAGGUGUAGCUUUGCUAAAAUACUCUCACAUAAAAAUUAGUGGGUGCGUUCCAGCAAACCAUAUAUAUAUAUAUAGAAAGAGACAAUUUUUUUUAAAGAAGAUGCAUAUAUACAUAUAAGAGUAGUGAUAUUUGUAUAUCCAAUUGAUGAUAACCUUGUUUUUCUCUCUUCUUAUUGAUCAAAAACAAUGGAGAGAGAAAAAGUAAGAGAGAUAAUAAGAAUGUCAUGUGAAUAUGAGAGAGAUAAAGUUGUACAAAAAUUAUCAAAAAAUAAUUGUACAAAUAUCAUUUCUCUACAUAAAAAUAUUGAAAGAGACAAGUUGUACGUAGAUACUCCCCCAAAAAAAAAAAGGUUGUAUGCAUAUACACCGAGAACAAUUUAUUUAGAAAAAGAAAUUGCUAUAAUGUAAGAAAAAAAUUGUUAUAAAAUAUUUCGUAAAUUAAUUUUGAAGUGCCUUACCCCACUUGGUGUUGUUGGCAGUAGCCUCAUUUUGUUUAAAAUUAUAUACGUAAUUAAUUAUUAUUAAGGGUAAAAGUGGAUUUUAAUUCAAAUAAUAAAGGUAAAAAGGGAAUUAAAAGUGAAAAUUUAUAAGCUAUAAGCUCAAACGUUACUUGAAAUAGCGUUUGGAAAAUAAGUUAUAAGCUCUUGAAAUAAGCUAUAAGUUCGUGAUGGAAUGUCGUUUACCAAACAUAAUUUUUUUAAUCAAACAAGCUUAUAAGCUAUUCGCUAUUCACUAUAAGAUCAUUUUUUGUCUUACCAAACAGACCCGACAACUCUUAUUAGACCAUACUAAAUAGACCAUAUUAUCAAAAACGAGAAGAUAGACCAAAAUUUCAAGAUUUGAAUAAGAGAUUAAUUUGGUUAUGAAAUAUAGUUUGCAAAAUUAUAUUUAAAAUCUUCUUAUAUUUUGUUGAAAAAUAUUUUAAUACAAAACAAUAUAAACAAUAAUAUUUAUAACAUCUUUUUUAUUUUAUUUUUGGUACAUUAUAACAUCUUUUUAUGCAAUAAAUAAAAAACCAUAAGCGUCUAAAUAUUGAUAACAUCUUUUAUGUAAAAAAAAAUAAAAAAAACUAUAAGUCCCCGUGAGCAUAGGUCAGAUGGCAGGGGCAUGCAUUGUUAUAUGCUGGGGUCGGGGUUCGAACUCCGGACACUCCACUUAUUCACCUUGAAAAAGGUGAAUUCUAGCCGUUAGGCUACUUGACAAAAAAAACUAUAAGCGUCUAAAAAAUUAUAAUUUUAAAGUGAUGUUUCAAUUUGAUCCUUUACAAUUCACUGAUGACCCAAUUUAAUCUCCGACUCAUUACCACAGAGAGACUAAUUUGUACCUAAUAUAAAAAUAUAAAGGAGUAAUUUAGAUUUUUGUUUGUAGCAGAUUUAAAUUGAACCACGUGUAAAUUACAAAGGACUGAAUUGUAUUUUGUCUCAUGAUUUAAAGGGUCUUGUUAACGAGUGUUAAAGCUGUCAAAACGGGCAAUCUGGUCCGCGUCGUGCUAGCCCAUGACGGGCUCGAACUUUGGCGGGCUGAACCACAAAGGCCUGCAAGAUAAACGGGCUCAAAAACAUUUGUCCAAGCCCGGCCCUUUGCGGGCUACGGGCUUUUCGGGCCAACCCAGUUAGUUAAGGAUUUCAAUUAAAAAAUUACACUAAAAAAUAUGGAAAAUCGCUUUUCUGACAUAGAACCUUCACACCAGUUAAAAAAACCAGUGCAGUCUGCACUAUGAUUUUCAGCCAUUUUGGCCUGUUUUUACCUAUAAUUUCAAACGGCAAUUCCGCAUGAAAUCAAACCGAAACAACAACAUCCAGCAAUCACAAACAUCAACAUUUCAUAGUUUAUCAAUUAUUCAGUAACAUUACACAAAACCGAUAAUGCGUUAACGUUUCACAAUUGUAGUCAAAUUUUCCACAUUAUACAACACAUUACACGUAAUGUACAUUAACUUAUAAUAAAUGUGAAACUCAAAUAUAUAUAUAUAUAUAUAUAGUUAAAGGUUAGUUACAUAUAACCCAAAAAAAUUGGUCACUUCAUUAUAUAUCCAAAAAAAUACGUCGGCGCGUAUCGACCAAAAAACGGAUUAACACCGACCAAAAAGUGUCAUAUUUCAUAUAAUAAAAACAAAUCAUCUAAAUGUUCCAGAACAUCUUCAAAUUCGGUGUUUGCUUUAACCGGAGUGUCAUCAAACAUAAUGGGAUUGUCUUCAUUUGUUGGGUUUUUUGGUGGAACCGGUCUCUCUUUGUCCUCAAUCUCCAUGAGUGCUCGAAAACGAUCGUGUUGAUCCAAGAAUUCAUAAUCCCAUGUUUUUGCCUCAUCGCUCCUAUGAUUUCUCCCCUCCGUGGAUGAUGGAGGUAGUGGACAACUAUCUUUCAACGAAAGAAGGACAAAAUGAUUUGGGAUUAAACCAAGGCAAAGCAUGUUGCUUUUCGGAUUAACAGGAGGCACACCUCUAAGUGGGAAAAAGUCUCGGAGACUCCAAUAUCAAGGGUAGUCAUUUCCACCACCGACCUAUUGUAACAAGAUGCAACGAUGUGUCACAUAUCCGACAAUGUCAACCAUUUGUCUGGAGGUGCAAAGCUACUAGGAUUUUUGGGGGGUGCAAUUUGUAACGCUCCUAUUUCUAUUAAAGCAAUUAAACAUGCGAAUAAUACAUUUAUUCAAGAAAUAAAGAUUACGUCUUAUUCAAAAUUCAAAAAAACCGAUUGACAUGUAUGUAAAUCUCAACAGUCACAGCGGAAUAUAAGUCAGAGUGAUCAAAUAUAUACAUGCCAUGAGCAAAUAAAUCAUAUCCUAAAGAUAAAUCUCAAAACCCAAACAUACGGGUAGUCAUCAACAAAAUCAUAAUCCAACGGAAGGUACAAACAACCUAAUCUAGACCGACACGACAAGCCUAGAUCAGAGCCGACACGACCCGAUAUCGGAGAAAGCUCCCGAUAUCCCACGCAAAGACUCACCGAGUACUACUCACCGAGUACUACUCCUGCACAACGUCUACUCACCCAUACAGGCAAGUAGGCGGUUAAAAUCACUGGGGGUAAGCAUUACAUUAUCAUAAUUCAGUUAAUAAUCAAAUCAAAUAAUAUCAUAUACUUGAAUAAUAUUAGUCAUGCAUAAAUACUUAUAUCACAACUUGAUAGCUCGUAUCCACAUAUAUCAAUCACAUGAAUAAUUAUCCAAUCAUAAAUAUUCAUUCACGACAUUAAUCAUAGACAAUCAUUAUCAACAUUCAUUCAUCUCAAUUCAUCACCAAUCACAUAAUUCACAUAGGACUCAUGCUAUGAUAUGCACUUAUUGACACAUAAAUGCAUGAGGUACCAAAUCUCAACAAGGUCGUCACCUUUCGAUGCCACUUGCACAUCGAUUGUAAGGGCUCACACCUGCCUUACAAUAAUCUCGAAGUAAAAGAGUCAUCCCUUUUACAGUAACAACGACUAUGAUGCAUGGACAUGUGUAAUGACUCGAUAAUGCGACAACAAUUCUCAAUCUCAACUCAAUAUAUAGGACAACACCCAAUUAUAUUGAUUAUCUCCACCACAUUGCAUUACCAAGAAAACAUGCCCAUAUACAGUUAAAUCAUAGUAUUCAUCAUCACACAACAAUUUGAUUAUCAACAAUCAAUAACAUCAUUCACAAAAUCUCAUUAAUCAUAUGAAUAUUUCACCACGCUAUUUCGGAACGAAACAACUAGAACAAGUUGAACACUAUUAACCAAUCUUACCCAAUAAUGUUUACAUGAAGUUAAGUCGUCUUCGGACCAUCACACUAGACCAAGCACAACUUAAGUUCAUAAAGGAAUCCCGUUUUCACAACCUUUCAUUUCCCACUCCAAAUAUCAUUUUACUUUGAUUAAGGUAUUGACCACCCUUGCAAGCAUCACCUAAGUCUAUAUGAUCUGUAGGUUCACUUGCAAGCCUCUUUGGAUUACAAAAUUUGUUUCCCGACAAAGUUUGGAACUCUCAAAAUUUCACAAGUUAAGACUCAUUUUAAAAAUCCCAAGUAUAUGCAAGCAAUCGUUGUUCCAGCAGGCUUUGGGGAUAAACAGUGGUUAAACAUGUUUAAAACAUCAUUUAAGAAAACUCGGAUUGGCCCCCAAAGACCCGCAACGAAAGAUCAAAGUGGCUGAAACUGAAGCUGUUCGCUUAAGCGACCACCUGGUUCGCUUAAGCGAACAAGUUACAGUAGCAACUCACUUUGUUUGCUGGCUGGUCGCUCUCCAGUUCGCUUAAGCGACGACAUGUUCGCUUAAGCGAACGAGUUCCAGUAGCAACCAAAAAACUUCGCUUACCUGUUCGCUCACAGUUCGCUUAAGCGAACUAAACCCAGAAAAAAAAUACUAUGAAUGUUCGCUUACCAGGUCGCUUAAGCGAACCUCUAAGCGAACCUUCACAGGUUUGCAGAAAAGUUACAGGUUUAGGACCCCUUUCACUCAAAAUCCUCCAAUUUGAUUCCCAAAUCCCAAAAUAUGUUUCCAGAACAUGUUUACAGGUCACUAUGAUUAAAAAGACUCACAAAGGCACAAUAAACCUUUAAAACACUUGACAUUUGAGCUAACUCUUCAUUUUCACCAAAACACCAACACAACUCAAAUUCUCAUCAACAAUCCAUGAAUAUGCAAACCCAAGCAAUUAUUCAUUAAUCAUAAUAUCAAAUAACAUUCAUAACAUCAUUUGAACAAGCAUCACAUCUCAAAUUAACAACAACUUAGGAGAAAUUCACCAAUUGAGUACAAUAUUCAUAACUUAUCAUUUUUACAUAUUUAAACAUGUAAUUUCACCAACACUCAUACAAUCAUCAUCAAUUCAUGCAUACAAACAUAACAUCACAGCAAGAGCACGAAUUUGACAUGAAUUGUUCAUCAACCCAUUUUCAUACAACAUGAGCAAAUGCAAAAAUUACAUGAUUGUGAUAAUAACUAACCCCCUUACCUUAGAAGAAGAUUAACCCAAACUCUUGCUUCAAUUCAGCUCCUAAGUCACCCACUUGAUUCCUAAAGCUCUUCUCUCCAAAACCCUUUUGCUCUUCUCUUCACCUCUUUCUCUCUUUAUCUCUCUCUAGAAAUAUUUUUGUGAAAUGAAUGAAUGAUUCUUCUAACACAACCCUAGUGUUAUCUCCACUAAUGGGCCUAACUUAGUUUCUAGUGGGUUUAACCCAUUUCUAUUCAAACCAAAAAUAUUACUACACUCCAAACGAUAUUUUAAUUAAUAACGGUAAAAUGUCACUAACGGUAAAAUCUCGACUUUCUCUAGUAACUUAAUGAAAUAACCAUUCUCACUAAUUACUAAAACCAAUUCCCACUGAAAAUUAUAAUUUUACCCAUCCUCACAAAAUUACCAAAAUACCCUUCUAAUACGAAAACCCAUGAAAGUGCACCCAAUGAUGAUUAAUCACACAUAAACAUAUAAAACACAUAAUAAAAACAAUUAAAAUAAAUCUAGCUAAAAAUCGGGCUGUUACAACUCUCCCCCCGUAAAAGAAUUUUCGCCCUCGAAAAUUUACCUGAAGGAAACAACUCCGGAUACGAAACCCUCAUCCUACUCUCCGGCUCCCAAGUGGCACUCUCACCAGUUGGUCCAACCCAAAUCACCUUGACUAGAACAAUCUCCUUGCCACGUAAACGCUUCAACUCUCGAUCCUCAAUCCUAACCGGCCAAGUCUCAACCGUCAAAUUAUCUCUUACUUCCAACUCAUCCACUUGAAUCACAUGAGACGCAUCAUGCACAUACUUCCUCAACUGAGACACAUGAAACACAUUAUGAAGAUUUGACAAAGACGGUGGUAACGCAAUCUGAUACGCUACAACCCCAACCUUCUCAAUGACAUCAAACGGCCAACAAAACGAGGAGUCAACUUCCUACACUUCAAAGCACGACCAACUCCGGUCACAUGAUUCACCCUCAAAAACACAUGAUCACCAACUUGAAACUCAAUAUCCUUCCUCCUCUUAUCAUGAUAACUCUUAUGUCUACUCUGAGACGCCUUCAUCUUCUCCUGAAUCAUCUUAACCUUUUCCGUAGUUUCUUGCACAACUUCCGGUCCUAACAAAGCACUCUCUCCGAACUCAAACCAACACAACGGUGUCCUACACCUCCGACCAUACAAAGCCUCAAAUGGUGUCAUUCCGAUACUAGCAUGAAAACUGUUGUUGUAAGUAAACUCAAUCAACGGUAAACAUUCGUCCCAACUGACACCUUGCUCUAACACAUAAGCUCUCAACAAAUCCUCCAAACUCUGAAUAGUCCUCUCCGUCUGCCCAUCGGUCUGAGGAUGGUAAGCAAAACUCAAUCUCAACUUAGUUCCCAAAGCAACUUGCAAACUCUCCCAAAACUUAGAAGUAAACCUCGGAUCCCGAUCCGACACAAUACUAGAAGGAAUACCAUGCGACCUCACUAUCUGCUCAAUGUAGAUCUCAGCCAACUUCGCUACAGACAUACCAGUCUUGAUAGGAACAAAAUGCGCUGACUUCGUCAACCAAUCAACAAUCACCCAAAUCGAAUCAAAACUCUUACUAGUCUUAGGCAACGCCCCAACAAAGUCCAUAGAAAUGCUAUCUCACUUCCACUCUGGCACAAACAACGGUUGCAUCAAACCCGACGUUCUCUGAUGUUCAAUCUUCGAUUUCUGACAAACCAAACAAGCAUAAACAAACUCAGUAAUCUCCUUCUUCAUUCCAGACCACCAAAACAACCUUUUCAAAUCCUGAUACAUCUUAGUUGCUCCUGGAUGAAUACUAAAACUACUUCUAUGACCUUCGUCCAAAAUUUGCCUCUUAAGCUCAAACACAUCUGGCACACAAACUCGAUCACGAAACAUUAAAACACCACUCUCGUCCAAUCUAAAGUUUCCACCUUUACCUUGAUUAACCAACGUCACUCGAUCCACGAGUUCCAAAUCUUCCUUCUGACAAUUCUUGAUCUCUUCCAAAAUAUUACUUGUCAGCUUCAACAUUCCCAAUCUCACCCCUUCAAGUGUCAACUCGCUAACCAAACUCAAGUCUCGAAACUGCUCAAUCAAUUCCAACUCUUUAACCAUCAAAGCAGACAUAUGCAAAGUCUUUCUACUCAAAGCAUCCGCAACAACAUUAGCCUUUCCGGGAUGAUAACUCAACUGAAAAUCAAAAUCCUUAAGAUAUUCCAACCAUCUCCUCUGCCUCAUAUUCAACUCUUUCUGAUCAAACAAAUACUUCAAACUCUUUUGGUCACUGAACACCUCGAACUUAGAACCAUACAGAUAGUGCCUCCAAAUCUUCAAUGUAUACACAACAGCUACCAAUUCCAAAUCAUGAGUCGGAUAAUUCUUCUCAUGCACUUUCAACUACCUCGAAGCAUAAGCUACAACCUGACGAUUCUGCAUAAGUACACCAUCAAGACCCAUCUUAGAAGCAUCACAAUACACAACAAACGAUUCAUUCGGAUUCGGCAAAAUCAACACCGGAGCUGAAGUCAACCUCUUCUUCAACUCUUGGAAACUCCUUCACCACACCAUGAGCUCUUUCAACUCUAUUUGUGGUCCUACACCCAAGAUGUAACACUAGGUCCGUCCAUGCCCUCACUAUUUUGUCCUUAAAAGGCUUCAAAAUGGUAGUUUCAACAUAUUCAAGAAACUUUGGAUGAUCCUUAUAAGCAUCUUGGAAUUCCACUAGAUUACCCGCAUAUAACUCUUGAGUAGGAGAUUCAACCAAUUUUUCCCAUGCAUCAAAUAUGAUAUCAACUAACUUACUAUGAUUCUCCUCGUCGACAAUCUUCUUUUGCCCAUCCAUCACAACAACAUUUUGUUUAACUUUGCAAUCGGUGAUGAUUCUUGAUCUAACAUUUUUGCCAACAUGGAAAUAACAAAGUAUUGCACUACUAUCGGGGAGAACAUUUGCUACGGCCUUCAUCAUUCUCGGGUCCCUAUCGAUCACUGCCACCUUAGGCAUAUCAUUAUUUGGUUCAAGAAGUUUAUGCAACAUCUGCAAAGCCUAAGUAAAGUUAUCCUCAUUCUCCGACGUCAUAAAUGCAAAACCAACAGAAUAUGUCAAAUAGGUUGAGGUGACUCCAACUAUUUCAAACAAUGACAUUCUAUACAAGUUGGUUUUGUACGUGGAAUCUAUUAUCAAAACAGUCGGAAAAUUGUUAAACAACUUUACCGAUGUUGGAUGAGUCCAAAAUAUGUCUUGAACGAUUUGACUUUACUUUUUUUCUCUUACGUAAUGAACAUAUCCAUUCUCUUCCAACUUUGAGAUUAGAUAUUGCUUCUCCAUCAAGUCACCCCUUUUUGGCUUUUUGAAUUAGUGACGUUCAUUGUAGACUUGCUUGAUAUUUGUGAUGGACUCUUUCCUUUUCUUCUUCAAAUUUGUCAAAAUAUUUUUUGGUUUCACCGAAGAAUCGGUCAAGUCAUGUACAAUCUUCUUGUCGUCCUCCAUUAAUCUUUCGGCAAGAAGGUGCCCUGCUACAUACCGCACCAUCUCAUGGUUGUGAAUGCCAUUAAGAAUAGCCAAUUUCCAAGCAUUGUUAUCCCUCAUGACAUAUCCACGCACCUUGAACAAACACCCACAUUUUCUUGAUCUUGUUGCUUCAUGCUUCACUUUUCUAUUUGGUACUUUGUGCUCGCCGCUCCGUUCACAAACCAACUCCAACAUAGCAUUUCUACCUUCACAAGAUCUUCUAAUGAUAACCGUAAAUACAACCCUAUUUUCUUGUCAACAGACCCAACCGAGCAUUUCCUCUUUAUCUUUCCAUGUAUCUCGUAUCGAAAAUAAAUGAGUCGUUUCCACUUCGUUGUCACAAAGUUUACGCACAUCGGAAUUGACGCUUGAAGGCUCUACUUUAACGGAAUCGACAACACUACGUUUUCUAACAUCCGGAUCAUCAUCCACAUUCUCAACCGUAUCUAUAAAUAAACAACAUAUAAUUUGUAAACUAAUUAAUAAACAUGUAUCUAAUAUCAUACAAUAACAUAAACAAACCAAAAAAACAAAAGAAAAAAAAUUGUGAAAAAGAAAUUUGGGCAGUAGCACGGCCAUUUGAAAAAUUUUCAAAAUUUUCUAAGUUACCAGCGGAAGUUAACUGCCGCUCACACCCAGCGGUAGUUAACUGCCGCUACAGCUCAUGACAAUACAAAAAAAAACUAGAAAAAUCAAUCAAAUGCAAUGGAGUUUAACGUUAUAAUACCUGUUCUUUGAUGCAUAUUGUGUGUAGAAACGUCCUAGCAAUCGAUCAGCAAUGAUUUAGAAACAAGAUUUUGACACAAAAAAAUUUGAAAUGGGAUUUUAUUUUUAGGUAUGGUAAUGGUGAGGUAAGGUGAUGAGUGAAUAGGAGAGGUAGGGGUUUCCUGGUUUUGGGGGAAAAAAAGCAACAAUAGUUAACAACCGCUGAGUCUCAGCGGCAGUUAACUGUCGGCGGUUCUUCCAACGGUAGUUAACUACCGCUAGGGACAUUAACGUCAUUUAAUUGUGUUAAUAGGAAAUAUUCAUUGUCAAAAAAGCAAUUUUCAAAAAUAUAAAUUGACAAACUCAACAACAUUGAAUUUAAACCAAUCUACCACUCCACCAAAAACCAGACACAAAUAUUAGUAUAACUACAUCAUGUUUAGAUUGAUGCUUGUUUUUUCUACUGAUAAUCAAGCAACCGUUCUUAAACUCCCUACUGCAUCAUUCACUACUUUACUCGAUUCCUUAUACAAUUUAUGUUGAGGAUGACUCUCAAUUUGGUGUUUUGGAAAACUUGGAAUCGUGACACUAUUUGUGAAGCGUGUCAUGAUUUUGCAAUGUCGAGAGCUGUUUUGCAGGGUGCCCAAUCGUGACACGAUUUUCAGCUUGUUGGGCAUGUUUUCAGGAUAAGGUUGGUCGUACCUUGGGUCGUACGCACCAAACGUGUCACGAUUUGGGAAAUCGUGACACGAUUUUGUCCGGAUCUGAACACAAUAUAUGCAUUCUAUGACCCCAUUUGUGGGUAUGCUUGGCGAAUCUAAUGGAAAUCAAAGGAGGGAACUUUUAGGGUUUUAGAUACUAAAGGUUGAGGGUCUUUGGGUGAGGAUCAAAGCUUCAAGAUGUGAAUCUUGAAGAACCAAAAGAGGGGGCUCUUGUGAAAAGGGUUGGUGCCUUUUGGGGAAGAAUCAUGGGGUUGGGAAACACAUGAGUGGAGAGUCUUUUGUGAGCAACUUGGGUGAGUCUUGUAAAACCAAAAGAGAAGAUCCUUAGUGAAAUCAAAGGCUAAGGGUUGGUUCUCUUUUGGGGGUUAGAUUCUAGAGUUGGGAAACAAUUGUAAACAUCUUGGGAGAGUGAAAAUCAUGAGUGUUUGGUCAUUGGUGAGAUUGGGAAAAUAGGUAGAAAUUAGGGUUGUUCUUUGUGAACUUGUUGAAGCUAAUACCCAUUUGUAUCUCUUUGUAAGAACUCAUUGAUAGUGGAUUGUACAGAUCAAUCUCUCCUCCAAAAUAGGUCAAGUUGGACCGAACUGGGUGAACAUUUUUUGGUGUGUUAUUUUUUCUUUACUCUCUUUAUCUUGUUUAUGCUUUGGUUGAAUUGUGGUUUUGAUAUGCACUUGAUUAUAGACUAGGUAUAUAUAUUGUUGUUGUUGCUUGUGAUUUACUUUGGUUGUUGAUUGCCAUUAAUACUUGCUCCACCCAUCAUAGUUUGUUUUGCUGUGAAAUUUGGGUCCCAAAUUCACAACAAUUUAUGUUCAUUGAAAACAAUUACAGUACUCACAAGUCACAACAUAAACCUAAGUAAAAAAUGCAUCAAGGUAUCAUGCUUGUACUGUAACGAUGUUGACAAUUGCUCAUGAAGUAAUUUCCUUCCAUCUUCUUAGUAUGAUGCCAAAAUUGUACAAAAAUAUUGAUUUAAUUACUAUUGAUUAAGUUGAAAACAGAUUUUCAUACAUUCACAACAUUAAUUGGGUUGAUUAUUGCAAGUCAAGAUCAAGAACAACAUUUGCAUCAUUGUUGAACCCUUUCAAGAACUUCACUUGGAAAAAUUCAUCAAGUCCUAGUAGAGGAACCAAAAAUCCAUCAAGUCCUAGUAGAGGAACCAAGCAAGGAAAAUUGAAUGGAAAGUGGAUCAGCAAGGCAAGCAAAGGACAUCAGCAAUAACAUUUAAUAUGAACAGAAAAUUUCAAAGGACAUCAUACUAAUUAAUAACAUUUAAAAAUUUCAAAGAAAAACACCAAAUUAAUAUGAACAGAAAAUUUACAUGAUACAAGGUAACACUAUUUUUUUUCUUCUGAACCUAAUGAUGGUGGGUUGUAGGAAAUUAUAAUGUUAAAAAAUAAUUAUAAAAUAAACGGGCUACCCGCGGCUCAGUCGGGCUAGCCUGUGACGGGCUCGGGCUUCAAUGGGAUCGGGCUAAAAAGGUCCGGUUUUAAACGGGCCCAAUUUUUUCUGUCCAAACCCUACAUUUUACGGGCCCGGCCCGUUUUGACAGCUCUAACGAGUGUCAUCGGGGCACUCUUUAAGCAUUCCAAAAGAAGAAAUUAUUCCAUAAAAAAGUCAAAAAUUUCAAUUUCCAAUGCAUCGAUUACAUUAAUUUUCAAAAAAGUUAUCUUUUAAAAGUCUUAAAGAGUGGCCCGGGGCACUCGUUAACAUUUUCCUAAUUUAAAAAUCAGUCUAUUGUUUGUUGUGACAACUUUUUUUCCAAAUUAAUCAACCUGGGAGGAGGAGUUAGCGGGGGAACUUAAGAUUCUACUUUCUAAUGUGUCUUUACAGGACUCUAGACAGCAUGUUUGGCAAUGGCGGCCAAAUGCAGAAGAUGGCUAUACUGUGCGAGGCGUGUAUCAAAUGUUUAUGAGGCAGGAGAUACGCGAUCAUGAUGAUAUCUUGGAUGCGGUGUGGCACAAAAGUGUUCCUUUAAAGGUCUCUAUUUGUGCCUGGCGUCUACUUCGAAAUAGGUGGCCUACAAAUGAUAACUUAUGGCAUCGUGGAGUUAUUUCCUUUGACUCUCAACUUUGUGUUUCGGGCUGUGGGCAAAAUGAAACAACAACACAUUUAAUUAUUCAUUGUCCUACUUUUGGCUCUCUUUGGCAAUCUGUGAAGAAUUGGAUUGGUGUGUAUUCUGUGGAUCCCCAAAAUGUUAUGGAUGAUUUUCGCCAAUUCGUUUACUCUUCUGGUGGUUAUAUUACUCGUCGUUCAUUCCUCCAUAUGAUUUGGCUCUGUUGUAUUCGGGUUAUUUGGAGUGAACGAAAUCAUAGGUUGUUCUCUAAUAAAGUUAAAUCAAUUAUGCAGCUUAUGGAAAAGGUCAAGAUUACUUCUCUUACCUAGUUGCAAGUUAAAAAUGUUUGUUUUCCUUUUGGUUACCAUAUGUGGUGGCAGUAACCCCUAGUUUGUUUGCGGAUUGUCUGACCGUUGUUUUUCUCUUGACAAUUACAAAUUGAAUUUGGUGUUGCUAUGCUACCAACCCAAAUCCACCACACUAAAAUUAAGCACGUAAACCCAUCAUUAGGUGUCACAAUUAACCGUUCAUGUUUGAUUGGAACGACAACACAAACUCAUAACAUUCCUUCAUAUUAAUUCGUUUUUCACCGACCAUCAAUCCAUGAGAGUAAUCUCAUACUUCUCCUGCCUCCUCUUUUGUUUCGGUGUACUGAAUUUGCCAACCCAUGCCCACUACUAGACACUAACCACCAAGUCUGCAUUUACCAACCGCAUUAUCAAUGGCCAAACUCAUACCUUUACGCGGAACAAGCACAAAUCUUGAGUUUUUAUGGCUAAAUCCAAAAACGAUGAUUCUAUUUGAUUACUACAUCUGUUCCGACCCUUAUGAUAAAAAAAAUUAUUAUAAGAUAGUAAGUUGGAAUUAGAUCUAGAUAGAGAUCAAUAAGACAUAUUCAAUACAAAACAAAAAUUUGUGGCAUAUUUUAUUGCAUGAUAAUCAAAAAAGGAAUUUACAUCAACCAUAUUUAAAAGGUUUUUUCUAGAUUACCCUCUCUUAUUUAGAAGGUAUUUUACCCUCUUAUGAUAUCAACCAAUCAAAAUGUAAUAUACAUUGGCAACAUUAAAUGUAAUAAAUGAGUCAAUUUUUUUCUAAAAAAAGAAUCAAUUACAAUCAUAAGGUAACUUUUAAUACUUUUAAUUUUUAUUUAAUUAUAGACAUGAUUACAUUGGAGAUCAUUUAUCUUAUUUAUUUGUUACAUUUGGGUCCUUUAUCUUUAUUUUUUUCCGCUUAGGUCUUUUAUCUCUUAUAAAAGCACUUAAACAUCAUUUUUCUCAUUUUUUUAUUAAAAAAAAUACAUAAUUUUAUUUUUUAAAAUAUCUUUUUAUUAAAAAUGAAACAAAUCAAGAAAUACGAUGAAGAUGUUCAUCAUCUUCAUCUUCUUCCUUUGAAUCUUCAUCAUCUUCAUUGAAUAAAAAAAAAUUCUACACAAAUAUAUCUUCAAAUAUCAUGAAUUAACGUUAUAUUCACCUCAAAUAUUCUUUUAAACACAAAAAUCAAACCCCUAUAGAGAAAGAGAUUUAGUUUCAUCACAAAAAAAAAAAAUUAGUUAUAUAAGUUGUCACGCUGUAUAUUAUUAUUAUUUUCUAACUCAAUAUUCAAGUCCGACAUAAAAAUAACCCCAGCUUUGCAUAUCAAUUUUGUUGUUUCCAAAACAAUCUUAACUUUUGUAAAGCCUAACCCUUCCGCUAGUGACUAAGCCUCCACCAUCCGCCUUGCAACAUUUGUGAAAUUAAAGUUUUGAUUUUUGUGUUUAAAAUAAGAUUUGAAGUGAAUAUAACAUUAAUUCACGAUAAUUCGAGAUAUAUUUUAGUAGAUUUUUAUUUAUUUAAAGAAGAUGAUGAAGAUUCAAAGGAAGAAGAUGAAGAUGAUGAAGAUCUUCAUCAUAUUUUUGGAUUUUUUUUUUCUAGUUUUAAAAAAAAAUAUUUUUAAAAAUAAAAUUAUGUAUUUUUUAAUAAAAAAAAAUGCGAAAAAAAGAUGUAUAUGUGCUUUUAAGAGAGAUAAAGGACCUAAAUGGGAAAAAAUAAAGACAAAGGACCAAAGUGUUACAAAUAAAUAAGAUAAAGGACCCAUAAUGUAAUAUUGCCUUAAUUAUAUUUAGGUGUUCAAUCUUAAUUAAUUUACACUACAUGACUGGCUUAGAACAAUUAAAAUUUCACAUCAAAUUUAUUUCAUCUGAAUGUCCUUAAAUUUAUCAGUUAUAUUCAUAAAAUUUAUUCCUACCAUUUUGAUUGUUCAAUUUUGUCGUUCCCAACUACCGCAUUUUUCAAUUUUCGUGAGAAUCGUCAUGAUUUCAAAUAUCGUGAGAAUUGCCGUUAUUUUCAGUACAACGUCAGGUAUGAUGACUUGAUUUUUCUUUUUGAUUUGAUUUUUCUUGGUUGUGAGGUAGUUAAUUAUAACAAUUGAGUAAAUCAUCCGUUGUACUUUGAGGGCUGCUAGCAGGUGUUGCCGCUGUGAUGUUGUGGGAGUUUGUUACCAUUUUUUUGGUUGCUGCUGAAAUGGUUAUGUGAUGAGGCUUUUGUUCUUUUAUUUGGACUUAAAGGCUUUUGCUGAUAGUGAGACAGGUCUAUGCGUGUUAACAGAUUUUAUUAGGUUGGCUGCUUAAAUAAAAAAAAUAAGUCACGAUACCUGACGCGAUUCUAGAAACAACGACAAUUCUCACGAUAAUUGAAAAUUGUGGCAAUUUGGAACGACAAAAUUGAACAAUCAAAAUGGGAAGAAGAAUGAAAAAGAAACAAAAAUUGAUCAAUAUGGAAGAAUAAAGAAGAAGAAAUUUGAAAAAAGGAGAUGUUUUUGUUCUCACGUUCGGGGUUCUAGAAUGGAAAAAAAUUUAUGAAUGUAAAUGAUGAAUUUAAGGACAUCCAGAUGAAAGAAAUUUGAUGUAAAAUUUUAUUUGUUAUAAGUCUUGUAGUGUAAAUUAAUUAAGAUUGAACACUUUAAUAUAAAAAAAAUUAAAUCAUUUGUUGUUUCAAAAAAAAAUUAAAUAAAAAUUAAAAGUAUUAAAAGUUACCUUAUGAUUAAGAUUAACUCUCCUUCAAAAAAAAAAAUUAAGAUUAACCUGUAUAUAUUACAUUUUGAUUGGUUGAUAUCAUGAGAGGGUAAAUUACCCUCUAAACAAGAGAGGGUAAUGUAGGCCUCACCUAUUUAAAAACCUAUUCAUUUUACGUUUACAAUAGAAAAUUGAUUAAAGAAGAAGACAAUGUCAAAAGAAAUAUGAAUUAUUUGGAGCAAAAGAUACUCAUUAUCUUCUGUAUAUUUUUGCUAAACUAGUGAUAUAGAUUACGCUAACGUGAUUUAUUUCACUCUAUUCAUUACACUAACACAUAUAGAUUACGUGCCUGUUUGGUUCAGCGGUGGAAUCACCAAACGUGCGUUUCUGCUCUCUCACACGUGAGUUUAACGUGUUUGGUUUCCGAUUCUGCUUUCGCCGUAAUCGUGAGUUUUGGUCAAAAUCGCGCGUACGGCAGAAGCUAACAAUCCUAGCUUUUCAAUUGUGAGUAAAUCGAUUCUAGCAGCAGUGUCAUAUAUCAUUAAUAAUAUCUCUAUUUUGCCCCUUCAUCUUUUAGGAGUUUCAGGAUCACAGAGAAUUCACCUCUCGUCUUCUUACUUGUGUGGUACAGUAACCUUUAGAAUUUAACCUAAUUAGCCUGGUGCUUGAUUUGUUUGACAGGAAAUGGUGGUUUGUCAUUUUAUUAUUUUGAUGCUUAUAUGUUUAUUUUUUAGGGCUCUUUGAUGCCUAUAUUGUACAGUACUUAAAAACAACUCUUAUAAAUUAAUAUCAUUUUAUACUGAAUUUGUGAACCAAUAAAAUUUCAGUAUAGUAUAAUAUCCAUUUUUUUGAAUUACUUGUCUUAUACAAUUUUUUUUUAAUAAUUCAACAUAAAUCUAAAUAAUCAUCUAAAAUGAGAAAGGGAUGUCUAUGUUUAAAACAUAAUAAAAAGGAUAAUUUCGUCAUUAUACAUUCAAAAUCAAUUUUGAUUCAAUCUUAUCCAAACAACAUCAACUUCUAAGAAUCACUUUUAAGUGAGUAUACCAAACAUAAAUCAAUUCACAUUUAACUCAUUUUUAACCAAAAUCAAUUUUCUCAAACUCAAUUAUAUCAAAAUCAGUUCUAACCACCGCCAAACCAAACACAUACUACAAACAUUAUUAUUUUUUAUGAAAUUUUUAUUUUGAUUAAAAUUAUAAGUAUAUCUCUUUUUUAUGAAAAAAUUACAAGUAUAUAUUUUGUGACUUUAAAAUUGUAACAACCAUGUUUAUCUUUUUCGACGACACCAACAAAAUAAUAAAUAUGAUAUAAAAUUUUAUCUUUUUCAAUAACUACUACAAUAUCCUAUCCUAUCUCAUGGUUUACCUAAAAAAUUAUAUCUACAACAAUAUAACAUUUUUAGAGGCAAUUUAUUUAAGGAUAUAAUUGAAAGUAAUAAAGCCACAUCAUUCAUUUUAGCAUCUUAAAAAAAAAUCACUUUUUUUUGGAGGAGUCACCCAAAAAUCAUACAUCCCCUUUAUUUAUAAUAGUAAGUAUAGAAAUACUCCAUUUUCUGACAUUUAUAAGUAAAAUUUUAUUUCAAAAAAAAAUAUAAGUAACUAUUCCUUUUUCAGAUUCAUUAAAUAAAUGUGGUUUCUGGACUAUAUUAUAUUUCAGAUACAUAAGUUAUUUAAUAAAUCUAUAAAAUUAAAAGUUACUUAUAAAUGUGACCGGAUGGAAUAUAUUGUAGAUAAAUAUUUCAACAAAUUAAACAUACUACUUUUUUCAUGAGAUAAAAUUUAGGCGAGUUAAACUCAUGACCUUUAGGUGGAAAAACUCCUUACCAACCGAUCCGACAUUCAUUGACAACAAAAUACUUCUUUGAUUCUAUAAUCAAUACUUUAUUUAUAUUCACGGAUCAAAGUUUUAUUCCCUCCAUAUUUAUUUUAUUUUAUUUUAUAACAAGUUAUUUUAAUUGAUAAUUUAUUUUUAUUUUUGAAUUUAAGAGUUUUGUAUAAUUUAUAAUCAACUAUGAUUAUAAACUACUCCAUAUGUCUCAUAAUAGUUGUCACAUUUGUAAAAUUUAUUAAAAUAUAUUAAUAUAUACAUUUUGUAGAAAUUAUUUUGCACCAAUUAAAAAAAUAAUUGUAUAUAUAUUUAACCUGGGUAAGGCCAGGGAAUUGUGCUAGUAAAUAUAAAAGAAUAAUGAAAACAAAUGAGAGAACAAAUAAAUAAUUAACUUUUGUUGAUAUUUUCAGUCUAAUUUCAAAGUCGCAAUGAUUUAAUUUAUAAUUUGUUCAUAAAAUAAUAGAAUGUUGUUAGAUCUUAUAUGCUUAUUUAGAUAAAUUAAUUUAGUUAUUGAACAGAAAAUAGAAAAGUAAUACAUGAAUGUAAUAAGGGUUAUAAUUGAUGAUAUAUUUGUAUUUUUAACUAUAUAAUAUUCAUUCUCAUAAGAUAUGCAUGAUUCGAAAGUCUUAGUUAAUACAUGAAGAAUGAAGAAAACAUGUACUCUUUGAAAGAUAUAUUGGUGGUUCAUGCAUGUAGUUGGUGUUGUUGUUUGUGAUUGAAAUCCAUGACUCCAAAAGUUAUAUUUAAUACACGAAGAAUGCGACAAAUAUAAAUUAUUUGCAAGAUGUAUCAUAUAUUGGUGGUUCAUGAAUGUAGUUUGUAAUUGAAAUACAUUACUUCAAAAUCAUGUUUAGUUCAUGAACUUGAGAGAAAAUCAAUUGUGUGUGACUUAUCUAAUAUUCAAAAUUAUUAUUUCUUAAAUUUAAAGUUAAGAGUCAAUUGUUCAAAUUAACUCUGUAAUAUACAUGAAGUUUGAAAAAAAGAUAUUGUAAAAAAAAAAAGAAUAGAUUUUAUCCCUAUAAUUUGAAAUUAUUCAUAUUGUUUCCCUCAUAUUUUUCCUUUUAGACAUGAAAAUACAUAGAAGGAAGUUGGAAAGUUUCAGAGCAUUCUAAAGAAGCCUUAAUUUAUUUUGAUUUUUUAACUUAAACAUACAAAAUUGCAAUUUUGUUCCGAAUAUGCAUAUAUUUAAGGUUAAAUAUAGUUUGUAAUUGAAAUACAUUACUUCAAAGUCAUGUUUAGUUCAUGAACUUGAGAGAAAAUCAAUUGUGUGAUUUAUCUAAUAUUCAAAAUUAUUAUUUCUUAAAUUUAAAGUUAAGAGUCAAUUGUUCAAAUUAACUCUGUAAUAUACGUGAAGUUUAAAAAAAAGAUAUUGUAAAAAAAAUAUAUAUAUAUUUUAUCCCUAUAAUUUGAAAUUAUUCACAUUGUUUCCCUCAUAUUUUUCCUUUUAGACAUGAAAAUACAUAGAAGAAAGUUGAAAAGUUUCAGAGCAUUCUAAAGAAACCUUAAUUUAUUUUGAUUUUUUAACUUAAACAUACAAAAUUGCAAUUUUGUUCCGAAUAUGCAUAUAUUUAAGAUUAAAUUAUGUUCCCUAAUUUUGUAGGCAUGGUUAGAUCAUCAUAAGAACUUUUACCAAUAAAUUUUAGAGAUUUUAAAAGAGGGACAAAUUAAUUCAAGAUAGUUGGCUUCCACAAUACAACUCUAUUAUUAGGUUGGUGGUAACUAAUUAGACAAAGAAUCUCAAUAAUACCGCUAGAUCCCACAACAUCAAACUUAUGAUCAUCAUCUUAAAAUGGAUUUAGCCAUUCCAAUUUGGUCUUAUCCUCAAACAUCUAAUUCAGAAAGAGAAUACAACACAAUUUUUUCUUUGAAAAUUGAUAGUCAUAGUUUAAAGUUGGAGCAAAGAAUUCUCAUCAUAUUAAAAAGGAUUAUGGCAUAACAAUAUUUCCAUAACAAGCCAUGAAAUAAGUGGUUUUGAACAAGAGGAAUCAAGAUUUACAUACACAUUAAAAAAGCUUCAAAGGUUUUUAUAAACAAUUUUCAUUUUUGUUUUACAAGAUAAACAACUUUGAUAAAAUGGAUGGAACUCUUAAUUUGAACUAUGUACGAAAAUGUUCUGGCGAAAUAUUGGCGAUUUUGUGUCACUAUUCAUUGUCAACUUCUCUAGUUUUCUUCACUCCUAGGUAAUCUUUCUUCCUUCAUCGCCUUCACCUACCUUGCUCCGAUCAUGUCUUCACCCUUCAUCUUAUCAUGGCCUUGCCUUCGUUAUUGUGAUAUUCCAUCAGAUCCAGUCACUAAUAAACCUAUACCGGUUUCUACCAUUAACCCUAACCCAAAACCCAUUUCUCAAGUUUUAGUUGAUCCUAUCAAAAAGUCAGAAAAAGAACCACCUAAGAUCUCACAUGUCCCUAAAAUAACCACUGAUGCUUCAGUUAGCCUUAUUGAAUCUACCCAGAAACAACCUAAGACUUUUUCUCUGACUUUGUCAAAUUUAUGUGAUAUCCCUACCUCUCAAUUACCACAACCGGUACUGAAAGGUGAUAACUAUACUAUUGCCAUUCCAGAAGAAGAGGUUGAUACUGGUAUCAAUUCAUGCAAGUUCAACCUACACACAAGAGUGAUAUGGCCCAAAGGUACAACUCAUCUCACUGAUAUUGCUCUGCGUAAAGCUUUUUUAUGAAUUCUCUUUUUCAUCUUUGGAAGAUGUCAAAAGAGUUAAAUCCACUUCAUCGUCGAAUCUAAACCCUGGGGUGUUGAAACUUUUUGCUUGGACAAGGAACUUUAACCCUAAAAUUCAAAAUACUACAUCAACUCAGGUGUGACUUAGAAUCUAUGAGUUUUCUCAAUUACUACGUCCAAAGAGCUUAUGAAUUUAUGUAACCUCCUUCGAUUACUUAAAAAAUUUAGAAAAAAAUAAUUCAUUAACUCGGAAGUCUCAAAAUAAAAAUUUAUUUAAAAGAAAAUUAUUUAAUUGAUAGUAAUUGCUAGUCUUCUCCAUUUUAUGCUAGUCUUCUCCAUUCAAAAUACUACAUCCACUAGACUCCCAUAAGACUUUUUAAAGAUGUUCGGGUAAAUAAAUAAAAAUAGCUUAUCAUAGUUUCAUAAGCUGCUUAUGCCAUUUUUUAAUAAGCCUAAAUUUUCAGCUUACCCUCCGGCUUAACAAGGAGUUUAUAAAUUUAUGUAACCUCCUUCGAUUCUCUCUGGAUCCACUUUUUCAAAACAUAUAUUUUGAUUAUAAUGUUAGUUAUCUUUGACGAUGCAUAAGUAACAAAAUUGCUAUAUUCUUAUCUUACUAAUUUAAAACACGUAACUAAGAUCUUUAUUAUUUUUUUGAAGGAAGAUUUUUAUUAUUUUUUGUUACGUAACAAAAUAAAACUGAAUAUAAAUAUUUUUUCUUAUAUGAAUAUUUUUUUGUUACGUAACUAUAUACUUAUCUAAUGUUAAUUUUGUCUUUUUUUUGUCAGAUAGCCUAGUGGCUAAGGUGAAUAAGUGGGGUGUCUGGGGUUCGAACCCAGGCCCCUGAAUAUAACAAUGCAUUGUCCCGGCCAAAUGAGCUAUGCUCACGGGACAAUGUUAAUUUUGUCUUAUAUGAAUAUUGAUAUUUUUUUUUUAAGGACGAUUAUUGAUUAUACUAUAUAUAUAAUUAUAAUUAAUAUAUUAUAAUAUUGUUUUUACAUCUUGAUUAAUUUUAUAAAAAAAAAUCUUGAUAAUUGUGGUUCGAUUCUUUGAUUUUUUUUAUUAAAUUAAAAAUAUUUAAAAUUUCGAUAAUUGCGUAUGUAAUGUCACAUCCAAACACUUCAAUUUAUGUAAGUACUUUUUAGUGUACAUACCCAAACAUAAAUAGCUUAUCAAAUAUAAAAACUUAUAAUGCAAACUCUAAUAUUAUAAGCCCUAAUGCUAUAAACAUCUAUAUAAGCUGUUUAUUCAAACGGGGCCUAACCAUAUUUUCCUUAAUAGGGAAUAUUUGAUUAUGAGUAGUAUCUGAUGGAAAUUAGUUCCUAAUAUUUCUCCAUCCAUUCCUAUUCUUUUUAAACGUGGGCAUCAUUUAGUUACUUCUUUGAAUAAUUCCACCAAAUACCUAUCUAUGAGGAUCACGUGCAAUUAGUUUUAAGAGAAACAUGCCUAAUUGUUUUUCCUCUCGUUUCUUAUAACUCGGCUACGUGGAAAAGUUGUUCAUGAUUUCUUUUGACCCAAAUCAAGUGCAUGAUCUCUCUAUGUAUCGCUUUAUCUUUUACGGUGAUACUUCUACUCUCCUAUUUAGUGAUCUCUUGAUGAAGUCAUUUGAGCACAAUAUAACUCUUCUUACUGCUCAGGCUAUUUCCACGUAAGACCAGGAGAUAGUAAUUUUCUAGCCUUCACAUAAGAAACCGUCACACCACUUUCUUAUCAUCACUUAACUCUUUCUCGUUCAAUAACUUCGUAUGUGUACAAAAUCUUAAGGUAAGGUCAUGGGGUUGUCCCUUUUCCAUUCUCUUGUUCAUAUUUUAUUAUUAAGUCCUUUUCUCAUUUGAAGAUUUGGCUUUGUCUGAAAGUAUUGUUACCAACAUCUCCAAUUGUAUUUCUAUAUUCGUGUAGUACUUCAAAGACUUUGCUCGUGCGUUUGGUCGGAAUCAAUCUUAGAGUGUGCUCGUGCGUUUGAUUUAGAAUUAAUCAUAGGGAAGGUAAGGGCUUUUUCCCCAUACGUUUUUACUAAGUGCUAGGAUUGUGUUAUUAAAUAGUGGUAACAAUUCUUGUCUUUUGAAAAGAAAAACAAUUAAUAUAUUUCUUUACGUGGUAAAAUCUAAUUUUUUUAUAAAGAGUGAUUAUUUUAAUUGAUUUUUAUAUGAUAGUUGUGUAUGAUAUAAUGUGGUAUUACUUUCUGUGUGGUUGCCUAAGUGACGGGGAUUGGUGCCUUAGUGGCGGGAUUAUAAUUAUAUUCUGUGUGGAUGCCUUAGUGGCAGGAAUUAUAUCCGGAUCAUGUAGUUUUUAGGAGCAUGCUUAUGCAUCAUAUCAUUUGAGUCAGUUAUAUAUUUGUGUUUUGAUAAUUGAUUAAACUAUUUUAUUGCAAAGGAAAUGCGUGUGAAUUUUACCCUAAAGGACAUAACUUGGAUGUAUUUUUCUUAAUUUUUUUGAUUGAGAAGUUUUGAUAAGAAAAUUGACCCUUACAUUAAUAUAAUAUUGUAGGUACCAAAGAUGAUACGCGGGGACAAAAAAAAAUUGGGUUUUUGAUUGAAUUGUAACUUUAGAAGAAAUUUUUGAAGUAUAAUUAUUUUAAGAAUUUUAGUUAAAUUAUGUUAAGAAUUUUGUAUAAGUUUUCCUAAUAAUUUAUUAUUGAUGAUAAAAAAAAAUAGAAAUGAUUUUCGAAUAAGAAAAUAAAUUAGGCGUAAUGCCUUGGAUCAAAUCCGGGGCAUUACACUAACAGUGUUGGAACACCUAUUUGUACUGAUCCUGCCUCCACAAAACCUAUGAUGGAAAGAACCUUUAGUCAUUUUCCUAGGGUUUUGGUGGACAUGGACAUAACUCAACAAUUGUGUUAUAAAGUGCUAGUGGAAAGGAAGGAUUAUGCUUUCUUUGUUGAUCUAGAAUAUGAAAACCUUCCUGAUUUUUGUUCACAUUGUUUGAAGAUAGGGCAUCAUGUUGAUGACUGUAGGCUUUUAACUAGGGCAACUGAUGUUCUUGUGCCUAAGAAACAAGCUGGGGAGGUCAUAAAUGUGUUCAAAGUGGUUAAUGAUGGGAGGAAAAAACAGGGUAACCUUGUUAAUGACCCCAUUGUUAUUGAAGAUAUAGCUGGAACCUCAAGGAAGAGCCAUAUUGAUGAUCCUGAGAUUACUUUGCAAACUGGUAUUGCACGAAACCUGAAUGAAACUCUAAUUCCUUAGGUGUUGCCACAUAAUAACAGGUUUGGAGCCCUUAUUCAGAAGGCAGUGGAAGCUGAUAAAGCUAAUGAUGUUGAGUUAGAAAAUGUUAUUAAUGUUAAGCUAGAAGGAGUAGCUGCUGAAACCUUUGAGGAAAACUCAAACACUGCAUCAGAGAUAAAUUAAUAUGGAAGCAUAGUAAUAAUGGGGAGUUAAAUCUGUAAGGUGCUUAUGAUUUCAAGAAAAAUCCCCUAAAAUGAAAUGGGCUAAGCUAAUUUGGUCUCCUGAUUUCCCUCCCUCAAAAUCUUUGGUGGCUUGGAGAUUUAUGUUGGAUAAGCUUCCAACAUAUGAGAUUCUGACCAAUAGAGGUUGCCAUCUCCCCUCUAUGUGCUCUCUCUACAACUGUAUGUCUGAAUCGUCACAACAUUUGUUCUUGGAAUGUUCUUUUGCCAUUAAUAUUUGGCGUUGGUUUUCUAGCACUGUCAAUUGCAGGCUUAAUUUUCAAACUAGAGAAGAUAUUUGGAACAUUUGUAAUGGUUCUUGGAAUCCUCAAUGCAAGAUUGUCAUCAUUGCUACCCUUAUCAAUAUCAUCAAUGUUAUUUGGUUUGCUAGGAAUCAUAUUAGGUUCCAAAGCAAAAAAAAUCAUUGGAAAUCUUCUUUUGCCACAACUAUUUCCAAUGUUGCUUUGUCAGGUAACUUUUCAAAUAUUGUGGCUUCCCCUAGCAUUUCUAACUUUGUGAUUUUAAAGAAGUUCAACGCUAUUCUUCAAGGGAGGGGAAUGUAAUUCAAGCUUCCCUCAAGGGAGAGGAGUGAAAUAUUUUCUAAUAUGUUUUGAAUAAGAGGAGAGAGGAGUAUAUAUUUUAACAUAAGAGAGGAGGGGAGUGUAAUUCAAGCAUCUUUAAGAGGAGGAGAGGGGAGUGUAAUUUACUCUAAUUAAUUUAAUCAUAAAAUACUAGCAACAAACAUAAAAUUGCAUUAGCAUCAAAAUAACCAAAAAAUGCAACAUCCUAAUUUGAAACUCUAACAUGUUUCAAUUUUCAAUAUAGAUCAUACAAUUUUGGUAUUCUAUUUCACUCCUGUGAAAAUUAAAAUUAAAAUGUGGGUAUUAUUGGUAAUUGGGUUUAUUGAGUUUGAGUCUGAUUUUACCCGAAACUCGUUAUUUUUUGUGAGUUUUUCAUUUUUUAAAACUAUACCCACACAAUGACCCAACUCAACCCACUUUUUUAGAUAUUUUUGGAUGGGUUUGACCGGGUUUUUCGAAUUGACCAAACUCAUAUACACCCCUACUUUCUAGAGUGAGAAAUCCACGGUCAUUGGAUUUAUUAAAAAUUAAACGAUUGUUUUAAAGAUAUAUAUAUCCCUCAAGUCUCAUAAACAAGAAAAGAUUUUUUUUUUAGAUGUAUUAAAUAAUUAAUGUAUUUGGUCUUCAUUGUAACUCAGAUAUAUUAAUUAUUCAAUGAAACUUAAAAAAAAUCUUUUCUUAUAUAUGAGACCGAAGAAGUACUAUAUAACAUUGCUCGUAUAUGCUAAUAUAUUUUUUUUCCUUUAUAAAAUAUGUAAUAUGUUUAUAUAUUAGCAUAAUUAGUAGCAACUCUAAAAGAUAUGUUAAUCUAUACCUAUUAAUAAAGGCAUAUUAAUAAAGGCAAUACUUUUAUUUUGGUGUAGCCUUUUUAUCUUUCCAGUUUUGUCCUUUGCGGUUUUUUUUUAAAUACCCUGUUUUACUUUUUUGGCUUUUACUUUUACUAAACUGCUCCACAACGUUAGAAAUAAAACUGCUCCAAACAAACAGUUACGUAAAUAAAUUUUGGCAUGCCAUCGCUGUGAUUAGAUACUUUUUUUUUUUUUUUGUUAUCUUCUGCUUAGAAAAUUCUUGAUUAUAUUAAGUUGAAGUGGUUGUUGAUUUUUCUCUCUCUAAUCGCCAGAUGGAUUUAAUGGGUGCUCCGAUAUCACUUUUCAAAACCAUUGGGAUUAAUAUUUAGGUCAUUUCAUUAGAAAUUGUCUUUUGUAAGCAUCUUUGUUUUCUUUUCUAUUUUGAACGUAUGUCUCUUCUUUGUAUAUUGCACAGAUUUAUUAUUUUGAAGUGGGUUGAUUCUCUACAACUUCUACAAGAAAAUAAAUGGGUAAACCAUAUUUUUUCUCUAUUAUCUCUUACUUUCUUUUUCUCCAUUUUCUACCCAAUUCUUCUAUUUUAUUUUCUUUCAAACCGUGGUGUUAUUUUACUGCAUUUGGUUAUUUGCACCUUAUUUUCAUGUCUUCACCAAACAUCUAUAUUUCUUAUCUCUUUUAUCAUCCAUUGAUUUCAGAACAUAGAGAAAGAUACAUUUCAUCCAUCUAGUAACAACAGGUACAUACUUUCAUCUUACACUUCUUAUUUUUAAUUUCAAUUUUAGUAUGAAUGGAUUAUUUAGUCUGCGAUUUUAUUUGUAAUUUUUUUUUGUUUCAAUAUAUCCUUCAUUGAUUUUUUCUUCAAUUUUCCCUUGCAUUGAUUUAUUAUUCAUUUGUUUUUCCUUAAUUUUCAUGCAAUUCCCUUUAUAUUUUAAUCCCUUUUUAAGUGUGAAAAAAUAAUGUAACUUCUAUUAUGUUUCAAUCUUCUAACCUUCCUUUGUUUUCAUUUUUUUUCUUUAGAGGUAAGUGUGGUUUCCUGUUGUCAUAGAUUUAAAUGGAUAACUCUUAUAGCCAUAUCAAUCACAAGCUUUAUGGAGCAGUUGCAUGUCUCCUUAAUCCAAAUGGGUGUAAUGUACCACAUUUUUGCAUUUUUUUUAAUUCCUAUAUUUCUUUUUUAAAAAGUUCAGUGUACAAUAGUCUAUGGCUUUGUUCUCAAAUAGGCAGUCCAAAAGCACAUAGAUAAAUGGAAGUUACUAUGAGGAAGAAUUCCCUGACUUUGAUAACCACAAAUUUCCAUUACCUCUUUUCAAAUUUGAUUUUGUAUGUUUUAUGUUGAUUUUUGAUUUGAUGUAAUACGGUGAUGUUUAGUUUGAAAAAAAUGCAAAUAUACGAAACCAACGUUUCUACUGUUAAAUUAAAAUGCUUUAAUCUAAUCAGGUAACUAUGUAAUGUACUUCUACUUUAUUGUUUGACUCAUGGUGCUGAAUAUAGAAAAAUUAUAGUUAUGGACCACAUAUUUAAUUUAAUUUCAUGACCCUUUGUGCUUUAUUUUAAGUUGUUAAGGAAAUGUUUAUUUUAUAUGUUGGUUUCCUUCUUAAUUUCAUGAUCUUCAUUACCCUUUGUAACUUCUACAAUGUUGAAGGAAAUAUUUAGUGAGAGUGAGAUAUUCAUUGUAAUGAUCAUCGAGGUGUUGUAAUUUUUGCCAUAAAUUCAUUUUUAUCUGAUUGUCUUCUUCUUGCUUGGAUGUAUUAAAGGUAUUUAAUUUUAUUAAGUAAAAAGUAGUAGUUUUCUUGAAUUAGAGAAAACUUGAUAAAUGAGGCAUUAGAUAGUUGAAAUUUUCAAGAGAAGGUGCAAAUAACUGAAGGAUUGAGAUUGCCAUAUGGUGAGGAAUAAAGACCUAGAAGCGAUGGUAUGAAAUUGUAAUUAACAUUACUUCAACAUAUUGAAAGUUAAUUAAUCAAAAUAUUGGCUUUCCAUUGCUUUUUUUUUUGUUGGCAUUCACAAUUAUUUUUUGUGUUGAUAUGUAAAAGUUAUAGUUAAAAGUGAAAUUUGUAAUUUGUCGCUGUUAUUUGUAUAAAUGGACAAUGAUUUUCUUUUUGGCAUCACACUUUAUCAUGCAUCCAAUGCUCUCAAUCACAUUCCAAGUUAGUAUUGUUUAUUUUUUUAGCUUAUUAAUAAAUAACAAUUAAAGUAUUGCUCUCAGUCACAUUCCAAGUGGAAUUGUCUGUUCUUUAUAUAUAAUUGUCAUAUUGACACUUGCUCAAAGAGUUUUCUCAAAAUUUGACAUAAAUCUACAACAAUAGAUAAAGGUAAUGAGUCUUUUUUUGUCUAGCAUUUUUUUCAUGAAAAUUAUUCUUCUAACUUUUUUGUUGCAGUAGGGGGGGACUAUGAGAAUGGGGUCUUGCAAGAGAAAGUUUUUAGAAGAACAAUGGGGAGAUAAUGAUAGGUAAACAUAAUUAUUAGGCAUUGAAUAUGUAAGGGAUUUUCAUUGUACAUUGCUUUUUUUUUUUGUCGACAUAACUCAUUGUACAUUCCUUAUUAAACAACACUUCAAUUAUAGGCCAUGAAGGUAUCUCAUAGUUUGCGUUUUGGUUUUCUUUGUUAUGCCGGUGUAUCUCAUAGAUUGGUCCUCAUUCUCUUCAUUUUUUCCAAGGACCGGCAUGUGGUGGAGGAGUCACAUAGGCCAUGAAGGUAUCCUUCAAUUAUAUAGUAGUUCACUUUUUUCUAUUUUACCAACCCAUUAUAUAGGAGUCACGCGAGGCAUUUACAAUUAGGUUUUCAUUCUUUUCUUUCUCUUGGUCUUUUUAGUUGUUCAAUUCUAAAGCAUUUUUAUUUAAAUUUUGUUGACAUCUGAUUAUACAAUUUUUCAAGUCUAAAGUGUAUGUUGGUUUGGUUUUGGACUCGAUUUAAAGUUGAGAAAUGGAAAAAAUAAGAGUAAAAUUUAAAUCAAAACAGAAAAGAUGUUGAAACCAUCCAGACAAAAUGAAUCAUAAUAAGUGUUGAUGAUCUUUUGCUAUUGCCUUUUUAUCGAUUUGAAGAGGACAAAGUUCAAAACUUGAUUCAACGAUGGAUGAAAACAUCGGUAUUAAUCAAAAUUCAUUAGUGGAUUACGACAACCUAAUGAAAGUGGACAUGCAUCAUCUUACGUUUUUUAACAAGUUCGAUUUUUUAUAUCAAUUACAUGUAUGAUCUUUCUUUUAACUCUGAUGAUUUUGUCCAAGAAAUACAUAUAAAAAAAAAACCAACAUUUAACAAAAACAUAAUGUUCAUGCGUUGCACACGUUAGCGCAGUAGAAAGAGCGGACAGACGGGCACGGGAGUGCCCGUCUGGACUAGUCUAGAUAAAUUAAAAUCAUAAAAGUUUUAUAAUUUUGUAGCAACUUCAUUAAGUACAUUAUUAUUUAUUGAUUUUUUUUCCCAUUUUUUAUUUCUUCUUAAAUGCUUUUUUUUAAGAUAAUUUAAUGUUUCUGAUCUAGAACUAGCUGAGUCAUGCUUGGUGAAUCAUAAUAGAGUCAAAAUUUUCAAUCAAAAUCUCUUCUCAAUUAAUAUAUGUUUCUUCUUGAAUAACCUAAUCAUGUUUCUUUCUAGAUGUAUUAUUAUACUUACAAUGAAUGCAAUAGUAUCGACCCUACUGAGAUGUAUCAAACUAGAGGUCUUACAUGUAGUAAUUUGUGAACAUAAUGAUAAUAACAUGACCUUGAUCUCUUAUUUAUACUAGCCUAAUUAGACCUAGUAAGAGUAUUGAAUUUUGAAAGAUAGGAGUACUAUAAGUUAAGACACAAAUAUUAUAUAUAUAAUAUUGGUGUACAUGUUUUCUCCAUUGUAAAUUAAUCACAAUCGUUAAAUAAUUGAAAAUAUUUGACAUUAACUAUUCUUGAUUGGUCAAAAGCCAAUAAUUCUUUGUUUAUUGGGUUCAAACAACGCUCUGGUCCGAAUACAAUAGGGCAAACAUAAGUUCAAGCGCAAGAACCAAUCUCAAAUCCAAUUCAUCUCGUUGAGUUUUAACUUCUAAUGACUAAAUUUCCUCAUAUUUUAACGUUUUAAUGGCACCUAACCGGUGUAGGAAGCCUUCAUUGAUGGAGCGCCAAUUGUAACGACCUUGCAUCAAUUUUACAACAUCAAUGCUUAUAAAUGGCACCUUUCAUCAUACUAAGAUAUAUAACUUCUUCUUUUUUUUGGUAAAGCUAAGGUACACAAUUUCUAUCAUUUCAACACAUUUGGACCAAUAACAUGUAUCCGUUCAAGACGAUGGUAUCUCCAUUUCACGUUUGGACAGAUUGCUAUUCGAAAGAUUACCUUUCUGAUCACACCUCAUAUCAUUAAGAGCAGUGUUAUAUAUCAAGAAUGAAUUUAUCACGACACUUUCUCGAAAAGCAUUUUGGCCAAUCACAAGUUUUGGCUGGCACAGAAAUCAAGAUAUGUGAAAUCUCAUGAACAUUGAUUUAGGAGAUAACUCGCUUGAAGGAAGAGUCCCCUCACCACUAUUUAGACUUCAAAUCCUUUGCUUUAUUACAACAUAUUUGAUGGUAUAUUAGAAGAAAUUCCAAAUGCUUCUUUGUCAUUAUCAGAGAUUGUUGAUAUUGUGCAUAACACAUUGUUUAUUGAUGCAACAAGUAUUAGGCAUGACCAUGAGGCAUUCAUCUUUUCCGUAUUCAAGUCCUAAAACCAUGCAGCAUUUUUGGGAUUUAUAGAAGCCAAAAAAGCUUACUGAAUCAAGUGUUACAUGUAACACUUGAUUCCAUUAUUUAAUUAGAGUACAAAAUUCUCUUAUUCAAUGAAAAGGAAUUAACCUUCUUCCUUAUUACAGAGAUUGAGGUUUUUACUCACAAAGCCAUUCAUUCAUAUGAUUCAACUUAAUUGAUUAAUGUUGAAACAAGCAAGGGAGAGAUAGGUGGCAAUAUGGCAUAAUAACCACAACUAUCAGCUAACAGAAAACGAACAAUACAAAAAAUAAAACUAAUACUCCUAAUAUUCAACCUGGAGAAUUUAGAAAUAAAUAAGUAUUUUGGAGUGAAAUUUAUAAUCCCAUCUUGGAGUGAUAUUUAUAUAUAAAAAAAAAAAAAAAAAAAAGAAAUGGUUCAAGAGACUUGAUAAAAGAGUAAGUAUUUCUACCAAAAAAAAGGUAUUACAUUCAUGAAUACAAUUUGUUUCGGUUUAGAAAAAAGAAUCUGAAAUUUGAUAGGUUCAAUGGCAUCGAAAAAAAGUAUUACAUUCAUGCUACAUUGUUUUUUCAUGUUACUGUCUUUUACUUCCUGCCAAAUUUACUAUGAAGCACAGACACAGGCAUUGGCAUCGAACACGACUGACACACGUCAGACACCAGAUACAUCUUCUACUAUAGAGAAAAUUUAUCUUUUUGUAAUUGUCAAUCUUUCAUAUCUUGUGUCAUAAGUAAUAGUAGUAUUCUGAAUUAAGAGGUUAGGUUCAAAUGAUUAAUGAGUUCCAACGAAAGUCAAAUCGAUCAGAGUACCCGAGUUCAAGCUUUGGUUGGAACAAUAAGUUGUCGUACUUUAUUCACCUCUUUGCCGAACUCAGGAUUUAUAGGAAGUCAGGAACCAUUUCCUCUUGAAAUUGGAGGGUUAAGACAAAGAAAAGUGACCUUCUUUGGAUACGGCUUGUGAAUUUUCUUCUUGAGUUAAGUACUGUUUUAGCAAUUUAUUCCUUUUGUUCAUUGAGAUUUACAUUGGUACUUAUGGAUUUGACUGUUUGUGUGUGUGUGUGGUAUUAUCUAUGGAUACCAUUUAUUGAAUUGCAUGAUGAUUUUCUCUUUUUAGAGUUUGGACAAUUGAUACUGUUAUGUAUAUUACUUGCAAAUGUAAUAAUGCACAAUUGUGUUAUAAUGUACAAUAUUUGUUAAUAACUUCAUGGAAUGUGUGAUUUUGCUAAAUUCUUUUGUUUUGAUUUUUCACACAUGUAGUGCGACUGUUUUUGGAGUUUCAACAGAAUCCAUGAAAUUAUCAUAUGACAGAAGAGGGAACAUUGUACCAACGAUUUUACUACUAAUGCAAGAACACUUGUAUGCUCAAGGAGGAUUACAGGUUCAUUGUCUACAAUCUUUAUUAACUUCUCUUUUACUUGUCACAAGCACCAAAGCUAUGUAGACAUAGACAUUGACACAACACUGACAUUGACCUGUAGACACCAAUAAUAGUUUAAGAAAAUGGAAGUGAUUGAAUGUCUACAUGGGUCAGUAUCAUGUCGAACACCAGACAUGCCUUUAAUAUGAAGUGUCGGAGCUACAUAGCCAAUAACAACAAAAACCUGCAUCAAAAUUCACCACUCUAUAUGCAAUUGGUCAAAAAAAUCAUUUUACAAAUGACUAUUUAUAUGUUCCUGCUUGGUUAAAUAUUUUACAACUGACUUAAACAAUAUGCAGGCAGAGGGAAUUUUCAGAAUUAAUGCAGACAAUAGACAAGAGGAAUAUCAUAGGGAUGAAUUAAAUAAAGGCGUGGUCCCAGAAGACAUAGACGUACAUUGUUUGACAGGAUUGAUUAAGGUAUUACAAUGAAGAUGAUACGUUACAUGGUAAUAUCAUGCUGAGAAAUACUACUUGUGCUAUUGCAUUAUCAUUAUAUACGUGUUUGUCUAUGCGCUUUUCUAUUGCGCUUAACUGUGUAUCUAUUUUAUCACAUCUAUUGUGUAAUAUAAGUUUUAAUAUUAUGUACUUGAUGUAAAUUUUGAUAAUUUAGUUUGAUGUUUUUGUAUUCUUAAAGGCUUGGUUUAGGGAGCUACGAAAGGUGUUCUGGAUUCUUUAUCUCCAGAGCAGGUAAUGCAAUGUCAAACAGAAGAGGAUUGUGCCGAACUGGCAAGUCAUUUACCUCAUACAGAAGCUUCACUUUUGAACUGGACUAUCAAUCUGAUGGCUGAUGUUGUACAAGAGGAACAUCUGAAUAAGAUGAAUGCGUGCAACAUUGCCAUGGUUUUCACCAAACAUGACUCAGGUUAGUUCAUUAAGUUUUUAUUCUUUAGGAAUUGCAAGGAGGAAUACACACACAUUUAUAGACUAUAUUAGUCUUGUACUCGUAUUAUAUUCUGACCUUCACUAAUUUAUUAUACUACAUUUGGAAAACAAAUUGAAAUUUAGUUCUUUAAGGAACUACCUGAAGCGCUAACAAAGACGCUAGACAAGACACAAACACGUCGACACGGGUAACAAUUUGAGAAAAUAGAUGUAAAUAAUUGUAAACUAAUGUGUCGGUGUUCAACACCCACACAUGGUGGAUACCAGCACGUCUUUGAUCUAAAGUGUCGGUGCUACAUAUUUUCUGCAAUAUUUAUUUGAAAAUGGUCACGUUUGUGACGGUGCUUUUAACACUAGCGAAGUCUUUAUUUUUGUUUUUUCUUUCUUUCUUUAGAGUAGUAAAGUUUCCAACUUAUUUAUCUGAUGAGUAAAGCUGAUUGCAGAUGUUAGACCCUUUGACUGCAUUCAUGUAUGUAGUUCAAGUGAUGAACUUUUUGAAGACACUUGCCCAGUGGCGGAUCUUGCUCAAAAUGUUAGGGGGAGCCGCAAACACCACUGAUAUGUGACCAUUGAAGUUGAUCAGAGAUAUGUAUAUUUUAUAAAAAUUCAAUAUUAAAUUAACCAAUAAAAAAUAAUAAAAAUAUGUAUACAAUGAGAAAUAACACAAAAUAAAACACGCUGAGAACCCACAACACUGCAUUUGUGCUUUUUGCAGAUAGAUAUAUAGAAGCAUGAUGGAUAGGCUUUUAUCGUAACCCAUCUCCAUUGUCAUCUUCUACCCCCAUAUCUGCUUCUUACAUCCAACUCAAUAAUUUUUCCAGCACUUUCAUCUUCUUCAAUGAGUUUCGCUCAACAACUUCAUUCUCUUACUCAAGUUACAAUUGUGAAUUUCCAGAAACCAAAUCACAAUCCCGCACUGUCGUUGAUAGGAUAACGAAAAAAAGAAGGCACAAGAGCUUUAGGAAGGAAAGGAAUUGAAUUUGGAAUCUGCGGCGACCGGAAAUUCGAGAGCGGCGGCCAGAAAGAGUUGUUGUGGUCGGUUUAGAAAGUGAACUUGGGGGUGCCGUGAGGGAGAAGAUGAUCACAAUCACAUAAGUGAGCACUGCAGUAGUAGUAUAUAAAGAAAAUAUGGAAAAAUUUGGGGGGAGCCGUGGCUACCUUCCGCUCCCGAGAAGGUCCGCCACUGACUUGCCUCAAGGACACUGAAGGCAAGGAAUGAUUGUGAUGUAGAAUCAUCACCUGAAUUUUAUAUAGAGCCUUUUGAUGAAAAUGAGGAACAUGGUCAUUUGAACUCCUGCCAGCAAGAUGUUGCAACUGAAAAUGAAAUGCUAAGCAAUGAAGCAAUUUGAUAUAUUAAAUAACUUAUAAAAAACUAUUAUGAGAUCAAACACAGAAAAUGAAUGUGUUGAUCUAGUUACAAGUUGGUUACAAGUAGUCUAUUUAUGGUGAUAGCAUUCUAUAUGGUAACUUGUCUAGCAAGUUAUCAGUUAUAACAAAUUAUAACUAACUAGUUUUUAGUGUAAUGGUGACUCUAUGAAGAUAAUGAAGGAUGAACCAAUAAAGAAACACAUGUCGGUAACCGAUCUUCUAGUAUCCGGACAACCAACCCAAUCAACAUCAGAAAACCUAGGAGUUGCAAAGAUGUUGAGCUGGGAAAGAAAAUUCCACAGCCAGGAGCUUGCUUUAAAAUGAACUUGUGUUGGAGUAGCAAACAAUUGACUGAGUUACUGAACAAUGAAGGUAAUGUACGAACGUGUGGUAAUGAGAUAUAGCAACCUGCCAAUGAGCCUUCUAAAUGAGGAAAUGUCAGAAAAAUUGGACCACUAUCUUGAUGGAAUUUGAUAGAGGGAUAAGAAGAAGUAUUGAUAGGCUUGCAAUUUAGAUGUUCACUAUCUGAUAACAGAUCUAAGCAAUACUUGCGUUGACAAAGAGAAAUGCCUUUCUAAGAUCUUGCAAUUUCUAGACCUAAAAAAUACUUGUGUGCCAAGAUCCUUGAUAUUGAUAGCAUUGUGAAGAGUGACCUUGAUUUUAGGGAAUUCGUUCAAACACAUUCUUGUUAGGAUGAUAUCACCUUCAUACACUAGAAGAAUAGUGAAAGAUGUGGGAGUAUGUUUAGUGAACAAAGAGUGAUCUGAAUGAGCUUGUUUGCAUCCUUGAGUAAGAAGUAAAGUUAUGAGCGUCUCAUACCAUUUCCUGCUAGCCUGCCUAAGACCAUAAAGUGAUUUCAGAAGCUUGUAAACUUGAUUUGGCUUGGGACAGGAGAUACCUUAUGGAAUAAGCAUGUACACUUCCUCUUGUAAUUCACCAUGAAGGAAGACAUUAUUCACAUCUAAUUGAUGUAAAUGCCACUUGUGGCUAAGGCCAGGGUCAUUUUAACGGUUGUGAUCUUCGCAACAGGUGAGAAAGUAUUAAAAUAGUCUAACAAUUGUGUACAUGCAAAUUUUGAAAUUAAAUUUUCACAAAUCAAAUAUAAACCUUUACAUUUUUUUUAAAAAUAAUUGUGAUAUUUAUUUAUUUAUUUUAAAUUUUUUUAUAAUAUUUGAUUUUUUAAGUUUGACAACAAACAUCUUUUUCCAAUCGCUCUUGAAAUGAAUUACUCUAUGUUGGGAAGCAAGCUUCAAGAAAGUUACUUGCUGAGUGUUGCUUUAGUGAUUAUCCCUGCCAAUUCGUUUGCAUAGGAAACACUGUUGCUUUAGUGAUAAUUCAAAAUUAUUUGGUAAAGGAUUGAGAUAUUUCUAUUUGUCACAUUCUCAGAUAAGGAAACUCUUGUGCGGAUAUUUUUAUCAAGUUAAGAGAUAACCACAUGAAACCUCUUGUGAUGGUUCAUGAGAUCUGCCUUGUCUCUCUCUCUACACUACUGUUAGCGGAUGUUGUAGGAAUAUCUUUUAUUAGAACGUUGUUUCUUUUUUCUUUUUCUUUUUCUCUCAUGUGACAAAAAAACAUAUCUUUAUUUUUCUUCUUUUGAACGUAGAAAAAAACUACUCUUAUGCUCAUGUAAAUUCAUGCACAACCUUGAAUUAUUUCUCAAAUCACGAAAUUGUUUUUUGGAGCUUAAUUCAAAAUAAUAAAAAAUCUUAGUUAUAAAUUGUAAGAUCUGUAACAUAGAACAACCUAGAGGUGUUUGCUAUUUAAAUUUAAUUCAACUGAUAUAUGUACUCUAUGGAGUGAGUGUGUGUGUGUGUGUGUGUGUGUGAAUGUUUGUUAAGUAUGAAAAUAUAGAUAACUAUGUUAUAUGACUUGAACUUUAUGGGAUGUCUUAUGCCAUGAUUUUGUGGUUUGCCUGACCUUGUACGUUUCGAUAGUUUUUGAUUUUUAGAGAAAAUAGCUUAUAGCUUUUCAUUAUUAAUCAAUGUUAAAAGGUACAUCAUUAAAAACUUGGGGACUUGUAACCAAAAAAAAAACUUGGGGACUAGAUAAGAAUAAAGCCUCUCUAGCAAGAGUAUGAGCGACCUCAUUCGCUCGUCUCCUUAAACUCCACCUUAGAGUUUUCGAAAUAAACAUUGCGGCAUCUUUUGCAAUCCUCCAAUAUUGCUCCAAAUUCAGAAACAUUGUUGCUGCCUUUGUUAAAAUAAUCUACAACUAACUUCGCAUCCAUCUCAAAAUCUACAUUUGUAAGUUGUAGUUCGUAUACCCAUUGAAUUGCAUAGAGCAGACCCAAUGCUUCCCCAAUCUCCGGCCUACAUAUGGGAUUAGACCACAUCAUCUUUGCCUUCCUGAAAUUACCAGCAGCAUCCCGUAUACACAACCCAAAACCAACAUGAUUUAAAUCUUCCGAAAACGCCGCGUCGAUGUUGCAUUUUAGCUUACCUUGCUGCGGUUUUGUCCACUUGAUAUGUGAUGACAGCAAGCUUGAUGCUCCUACAUAAUGCAUAUUUACAUCAGCUUGCUGCACAACCAUAUGUCCAGCUGCACUACACUUCUGCUUCCUCAUAUUUGCUUCUCUCCACUCAACUAACAUCUGUUGUGCUCGAGCAGAAAUAGCCUGGCAUGUUUCUGAAAUAUUCUGCCAUAUUCGAAGAUUCCGACUCUUCCAUAAACUCCAUAAAUUCAUCGCAAACUGUUCGAAUUUCUCCUUCGUUAAUUCUUUGAGUAGAGCAAGGAUGAUUUCAGCCGCUGUGUUAUGAUUAAGCAUCACCGAACUCACUUUGUCUACCAUUGAACAAUUUAACCAAACAUUUCUUGCUUUAGGACAAUCAAAUAGAACAUGAGUCGUAUCCUCGUAACAUUCCUCACACAAACCACAUAAAUAUGUGCAAUUCACUCCUUUAUCCAACAACCUGGCUUGUGUCGGUAAACAAUCCCGACAAACCCUCCAAAGAAAAUUAUUCACUUUCAGCGGAACUUUUGAGUCUCCAAAUGCUAUCCCAACUGCCUGCCCUAUGCAAGUAUGAAUUAUCUACUAUAUUAUUCACACACAAAUGGUACGCACUUUUAACCGAGUAAUGGCCGUUUUUCUCCGCCUUCCAUAUCAAAGCAUCCUCCUCCACUUGAUGAAAAAUGGGAGUUCUAAUAAUCUCCUGCACAGUAUCAUAAUCAAAAUAAUAAUUAACCAUGUUGUAAUUCCAGCCAUUAGUAUUUUGAUCAAUCAAGGAGUGGACUCGAACAUUCUGAAGCACAUCGCUAGAUUGCCCAACACCCGAAAUAACUCCCCCAUUUCUUAACCACGGGGCCUCAAACAUUGGAAUAUUUAUGUUGUUUCCAAUUUUCCAUCUAGCACCUGAUCGGACAAUCAUCUUUGCACUAAAAAUACUACGCCAAACAAAACUUGGAUUGUGUCCUACCUUCGCGUUCAAAUAAUCACUACGAGGAAAAUACCGCGCCUUAAAAAGUUUUGUUACCAGAGACUCAGGUUGGGUUUGAAACAUCCACCCUUAUUUACCCAACAUUGCUAAGUUGAAAGCCGUUAAAUCUUUAAAGCUCAUUCCACCAUAUUGCUUGUGCAGAGUAAGCUUCUCCCAAGAAAGCCAAUGAAUACCUCUAUUAUUACUUCCUCCAUGCUCCCACCAAAAAGCAUUUAGCAUUUUUUCAAUAGCAUCAAUAAGAGACGAAAGUAACAGAAAAAUGCUCAUAACGUAAGAGGGAAUGGCUUGCAAAACAGACUUAAUCAUAACCUCUCUACCAGCUUUUGACAGACAUUUACUGCUCCAAGAAUUAAUUUGAAGGUGAAAAACACAAGAAGGGGGGGGUUGAAUUGUGUUUUCUUUUUCUCUUAAAAAAGGAUUCUUCUUCUGAUAAAACUUCAGAAGCAGUUUGAUUGCUUCUGAUGAAAUGAUCAGAGUCAGAUUGCAGCGGAAAAGAACAGAGCAGAGAAAAGAAAGACAAAUACACAGGCAGUUAUCCUGGUUCCUUCCACAACACGGAAGUAGUCCAGUCCCCCUUGCACUUCCAAGGAGAUUUCACUAUAAUCACAAGAUUACAACUGCUCAAUACUUUCAAAGUAUGAGACUUCACAAAACAAUGCUCAAGCACACACGCAAGAGUCUUCCAAUGCUCAAGCACUAAGCAAGAGACUUCUAAUGCUCAAGCACGCAGGCAAGAGACUUCUAAUCAAACAAAAAUACAGAGAAUUGAGUUUGAAUUGAACACUUGAUAUACAAUCAGUGGUGUUCACAAUACAAUACAGAAAAGACUCUAGACUUUGAAUUUCUAAGAUGUAUCAAAUCAGUGCAGAAAUUCAGUGUGCUUUGUAGAAUCAAAUUGACAGAGUUUUCGCGCUUUUGAACUUAUGUAUCUCUAUCUAAAAUCUUCAAGUCUUCAUUCCUUUAUAUAGAGGCGUGAAAGAGACGUUGAGAUAAUCAGCACGUCUAAAGAGUCGUUUGAAAUCCUUUGAUUAUCCACCAGUGAUCCUUUGCCUGAUUUGGGUGUAGUCCUUUGAAGAAUAAACUUCAAAUUCAUUCCCAUCUUGAGUGUACAAAUUCUGCAGGCAUGGCUGUUGUUUUGUCUUGUAGCGUAGACAGAAAACAGAGUAGUGGUGGUAGUGGUUGUACACUUGUACUUUGUCAACUCUAUUAAUGAGAGACAAGUGCUCAGUGCUAUCCAUAUAUCCGUUGAUACCUCCCUUUCAAUUCUUCAUUCUUCUUUGAUAAGACUGAAUUGAGAAUCAGCAACUUUGAAUCUUCAGUUUGACUAAAGGAUCAAAUGUAGCUUCUGGUGAAAAUAUUGCUUCUGAUGAAAACUUUUGCUUCUGAUGACUUUCUGCUUCUGAUGACUUUCUGCUUCUGAUGACGUCAUCUCUUCAGGAGCAGUUUAGCUUCAGGAGCAGUUUUCUUCAGAUGCUCAGAAUUUCUUUUUUCUUUCCAUUGUUCUUCCAAGACCUAUUGAAAUAACUUGAGUAGCCUUUGGUCCUGUACACUUGAACAAUUAUUAGUAAUAACCAAUUGACAAUUUUUAAUACCUUGUUAUCAUCAAAACUUAAUAAGGUUCAUUGUGAAACACAUUUUGUUCCAACAAUCUCCCCCUUUUUGAUGAUGACAAACAAUAGUAUUUAAAAUGUUCAAUUGUUGUUGAUCUAAUUAAUAAGUUGACUACUGGGACAGAGGUUUGUAAGCUCCCCCUGAGUCUAAUAGUUCUUUAAGGUGAGGUUUGUAAGCUCCCCCUAAGUUCUAUUCUUAUUAAUUAAAUUUCAAUAAAAUACUUAUAAAAUCAAAUCAGAAGUAUUUAAAAGAAAUUUAGAAGUGGUUAUAGUAGGGCUCAGUGCCUUAACAAAUACUAUACAUUUACUCCCCCUUUUGUCAUCAACAAAAAGAGUAGAAACAAAAGAAAGAGUAUCAGAGCAAAACAAAACAAAAGAAUAAACAUAUAACUUUUAAAGAUAGUAUUUUCAGAAUUAAAGCUUGUAAAACAUAUUGAAGGUGAAAAAGCACAAGAUUCAGAAACAAUGAUAAUAUAUAUAGAAAGAAAGAUUAAGAUACAAAGACACAGCUACUAAGAACAAAAGUAAAAAACAAGUUGGAGUUGGGUGUGCAACUAAGGUUGGGCUUGCUUAUACAACUGUUCUAAGAGAUACUUGAUCUGAUCAUCCUUCUUCUGAAGUAGCUCAUCCUUUUCCCUCAUUCUUCGUUUAAAUCCAGCCUGAAUUCUAGCAGCCCUAGUGAUGUACUCUUCUUCUGGAUAGAAAGGAGUGAUGUCCAGCAGAGGCACAAAAUUCAGCUCUUUCUCCUUAGCUGCUUCAUGCAUAUCAUCCAAAAGCUUUUUCAGCAUAGCAGAGUGAGAUGACACACAUUUAGUUCUAAGCUGAUCCAGCAGCUCAUCAAAGCUCUUCUGUAGAUCCAUCCACUGAUCAUAAUAGUGAAUAGGAGGUGCAGGAACUGUUCUGCGAAGAAUCAGUGCCUGAAUCUCAUCACUAAGUCUGAUCAGUUGUUCCUCUAUAUACUCAGACUCCAGGAUAUGGUCAGGGAUGGGUGAAGGUUCAGUUUGAGUUGUAUUUGAUAUGGAAGGUUGGUCAGAGGUUAAGUCUAUUAUAGUGGGUGAAUCUGGUUGUUGUUGUUGUUCUGUUGUUUGGUCAGAAGGUAUAUGUUGGUCAGAAGUUGUUUGGUCAGGAGCAACUUGUUCAGAGGAAGUUUGCUCCUGAACAGUUUGCUCAGGGAUGGUUUGGGUUUCUGUUUGGGUUUCCAAGACAGUCUUUUCAGGAACUGUCUUAGAGGCCUUAGUGGGUGUUGGUUGCAUUUCACCACCUAGAUGUUUUUCUAAGUUGUGAAGGGUUGAGUAUUCUUGGUGUUGGGGGGUUUCUGAAGUAGUUGCAUCUGAAGCUACUUCAGAGGCUUUUUGUGUGGUUGAGUUAUGUGGUGAGUUUGUUGUAGGUUCUGGGUUGGGUUGAGGUUGUUGUACACUAACAGGUUCAGGAUUAUCUGGAUAGAGUGGAUGAGUAGGAGGCAAAUUGAAUUUCUCACAAAGUUUAAUUCUAUUCUUAGAAAAUUCUAUUUGAGUUUGCUCCCAGUCAAGUGUUCCUAAAUCUGUUAGUUUGGUAGGUUUGGUUUUUAGAAGCUUGUCUAUGUGUUGGCUAAGGGGUUGGUCAUCUGAUUCUGUUGAUGAUGAAGAGGGUGAAGAGGGUAGAGAUGGAAUCUGAGUAUUAGUUGGAGCGUUAGAUGGAUUACCUGAAGACUGAGCUUCUGGAUGAACUGCUUCUGGAGCUUCUGAAGCUGGUUCUGAUGAAGUUGCUCCUGAAGCUUGCUUAUUCUUCAAGGCUUGAGAAAGCAGAGUUGCUCCAUACUUAACAGUUUCUAACUCCGAUGCUAAAGCAGCAAUGUCAGGAGUAGGCACAUACCCUGCAGCCUUGAGACGUUCAUCCCUUUCUUUUUCAUACAAAAUCUUCAUCCUUUUCUUUUCUGCUAUCUUGGAUGCAGCAACCUCCCUAGUAUACUGCUCCAUUUCUUCAGUCAUUUCGAAACUGGGCAUGACUAUGGGCUCAGAAGUUGCAGUCCUUUUUGCUUUCUUAGGGCUUGAGUCUUCAUCCCAGUUCUCUUCCAGUUCUUCCAACAUUUGUGCCCUUCUUCCUUCACCUGUCUUCAGAUUUCUUGUUAAAUUAGACCUUUUCCUUUUGAUGGUCUGAAGAGCAGCUUCUCUUUUAUUUUUGGGACUUGGAGGCUUUUCAGAAGCAGCUUGAUCAGAAGCAACUUGUUCUGAACCAGCUUGUUCAGAAGCAGGCUGUUCUGCUGUUUCUUGAGUACUCCUUGUCCUUUUUCUGAUAAGAGGGACAUCUUCCAAAUCUUCCACUUCCUCAAGAAUGGUGGACAUAGCAGAUUUUACCUUCUUAGCUUUCUUAUGCUUCUGAGCACCCACCUCAGUAGCAUUUUCAGCAAGGUAUUCUUCCUUGGUGAUCUGCUUCUUCUUAGAUUUUCUGCUUUUGGCCACAGGCAGCUCACCACCAUACAUUUGGUCAGGAACAUCCUUCAAGCUGAUUUUCUGGUUAAAGGAUUUGUAGUGAUCCAUGAUAUAUGCCCUUUGAACCUCCAAGGGAUCUUGUUUACAGAUGGGAGGAAAGUCUGGGAUAAGAUCUGAUUUGGCAUCAGAAGGUUUCAAGUCAGUAGGACUCUUCUUCACAUCUUUUGCUUUAAUCAGAUGCAUAGCCCUUAGAGUCUCACCAUUGAUAAUCUUCCCUCUAACAGUUCCCAACUGUUCAUCUGUGAAGAUCUGAGCUUCUUUCAGCAUCUCAAUAAUUCCUCCCUGAUGGAAAAUCUCAGAGAGUAGUCUUCCAUAGGGUACCCAAGACCUUUUAUUCAGUUGACUCUCUCUGAGUUGAUGAACCAUAUGUCUGAAUAUGUAUCUGGGAAUAUUUGCCUCUACACCCUUUAUGACAAAGUGUAAGAGGAUUUUAUGUUCCAGAGAGGGCUGAUCACCACCACCACCUUUUGGUAGUAGGUUUUCGUUCUGAAUCUUCAACAUAACCUUUGUCUUGGUGUUCAUGUCAGAAUAGGCAAAGUCCUUUACCUUGUUGUAGAGAGUUUUGUUAACAAUAGCAUUCCAGGGGCUGUCCUUUGGCUUUGAAAUCCCAGCCUCAUGUUCUCCUUCUGCUGGUCUUCUGAUGACAAAGGCAAUAGUGUCCUCAGUGAUCCAGACACGGAUUCCCAUGAUGCUUGAUCUUAUCUGGGUUUUGGAGAAAGUUUCCAAGCCCAUUUCCGCUCUAGACUUCCCUUUGAGUUCAGGAUUGAGAAGAACUUUUUCAUCUUCUUCAAUCUUGGCGGCUUCCCUGUCGUAGAUGCUGGCUCUAACCCAGAAAUGACGAACCAGUGUUUGAUAAGUUGGUCCAUUUAGAAGAUUGAAGUACCUUCCCAGACCUUGUUUCUCGUAGUACUUGCCAAUGUCACAGUCGUGAGCGGCCAAAGAAUCAAAAUCCACCGGACUUUCUGAUUGAAUGUUUAAUUCCCAUUCCUCCAAGGACAUAGUUCUUCCUUUGAUUUCAUAAGCAGGAGUAUCUAUAUCCAUAUUCGAUGAAGAACCACCGGCAGAACUUGAAGAUGCCAUUGAUAUGAAGUGGUUUAAGGGUUCUAAAGAGUUUUUGAGAGGAUGAGAGAAUGUGCUUACUUACACAGAGGGUUGAGAAGAAAUUAGAAAGUGUUUGUUGUGAAGUGAGAAGUGUGUGAAAUGACUUAGUGUUUUUUAUUAAAACGUUUGUAAUUCAGAAGGGACAAACAAACACAGCAUUAAUGACAAAUUGGGGGCGCGUGUAAGUAUGUUAAAAAGCGAAUAAAAACAUCAUUGCCCUUUUUGUUAUACUCCAAUACAAAUAGACCACGUCAGAGACUCUUCAGAAAACUACCUUUUGGGUAAUGGGACAGCUGUUACAUAAAGUAACUGCCAGCGUUCCCACUAACCAAGCUAUUCAGAAGCAAAGAAUAACACUUCUGAAGUUUUAGUGCUGACGUCAUCUUCAGAAGCACAUUUUCCUCAGAACCUCAGUUAAGAGCUUCUGAUGAACCAAAAAUGCUCCUGAAUAAACUUCAGAACCAAACUUCUUAUUCAGAGGCAAGCCAUUUUUCAAUCAGACACAAAAUGCAUGUUCAAAUUUUUCUUAAUAAAAUCAAAUCUUUCAACAGACAAAGGUUUUGUAAAUAUAUCAGCCCAUUGAUGUUCAGUAUCAAUGAAUUGUAUAUCUAAAAUUCCUUUUUGAACAUAGUCUUUGAUAAAAUGGUGUUUGAUUUCAAUAUGCUUGGCUCUUGAAUGUAGAAUUGGAUUCUUUGACAAACAAAUAGCAGCAGUAUUAUCACAAUAAAUGGGAAUACUGUUAGCAUUGAUCUGAUAGUCUUCCAACUGAUGUUUCAUCCAAAGUAGUUGUGUGCAACAACUUGCAGCUGAAAUGUACUCUGCUUCUGCUGUAGACAUAGCAAUAGUUGCUUGUCUUUUGCUUGCCCAGGAUAUCAGAUUCUCUCCCAGGAAUUGACAAUUUCCACUGGUUGAUUUUCUUUCAAUCCUAUCACCAGCAUAAUCAGCAUCACAGAAUCCAAUCAACUUAUAAUCUAGGGAUUUCCUAUACAGGAGUCCAAGAUUAGUUGUUCCUUUCAGAUACCUGAAGAUUCUCUUAACUGCAGUUAAAUGAGAUUCUCUAGGAUCUGAUUGAAAUCUUGCACACAAGCAUACACUGAAUAAAAUAUCAGGUCUAGAUGCAGUGAGGUAUAACAGAGAACCAAUCAUACCUCUGUAUAGCUUCUGGUCUACUACUGUUCCAGUAUCUUCUUUGCUUAAGGUGCAGGUUGGAUGCAUUGGAGUGUUCAUCACUUUACAAUCUUCUAGCUUGAACUUCUUCAGAAGCUCCUUUGUAUAUUUUGUUUGAUGAACAUAUACUCCUUCUUUACUUUGGUUGAUUUGAAUUCCCAGAAAGAAUUUCAAUUCUCCCAUCAUACUCAUUUCAAAUUCAUCCUGCAUUAACUUAGAAAAUUCUUUGCAAAGAGAUGCAUUAGUAGAACCAAAUAUUAUAUCAUCAACAUAUAUUUGCACAAUCAAAAUAUCUUUCUUAAGAGUCCUUCUGAAGAGUGUUGUGUCAACUUGUCCUCUUUCAAAAUCAUUUUUAAUUAAGAAAUUACUUAGUCUAUCAUACCAAGCUCUGGGAGCUUGUUUCAAGCCAUAUAGUGAUUUCUUAAGUUUAUAAACAUGGUCAGGAUGCUUAAGAUCCUCAAACCCAGGAGGUUGUUUAACAUACACUUCUUCUUCAAUGACACCAUUAAGAAAAGCACUUUUGACAUCCAUUUGAUAUAAUAUUAUGCCAUGAUUAAUUGCGUAGGAUAGAAGUAACCUGAUUGCUUCCAAUCUUGCAACUGGAGCAAAUGUUUCAGUGUAAUCAAUGCCUUCUUGUUGACUGUAGUCUUGAGCAACAAGUCUGGCUUUGUUUCUGGUUACUUCUCCUUGUUCAUUCAGCUUGUUUCUGAAUACCCAUUUUGUUCCAAUAAUGUUCUUCUGAGAAGGUUUGGGUACCAGAUCCCACACAUCAUUCCUUUGGAAUUGAUUUAGCUCUUCUUGCAUAGCUAAUAUCCAUCCAUCAUCUGAGAGAGCUUCUUCAACAGUUUUAGGCUCAAUUAUUGAAAGCAGUCCUAUUAAAGACUCUUCUUGUCUAAAAUGUGAUCUUGUUCUUCUAGGACUAUCUUUGCUUCCAAUGAUUAACUCCUCAGGAUGUGAAGAUUUGUGCUUGAAUUUAGGUUGAAUAACCUGCUGAGUGUUAUCUUGAAAGUCCUCAGAAGCACUUUCAUUCUGUACUUUUGGGCUAGGUUCUGCUUCUGAAUUAGACUCAGCUUCUGGAGUGAUUUCAGCUUCUGGACAAGAUUCAACUUCUGUAUACUUUUCAGAAUCAGAAGGUUGAUCAGAUUCUGAUGCAUCUUCAGAAUCAGUUGUACCUGCAUUACUUUCACUUUGCUCUGAAGUUUUACUUCCAGGCUCUCUAUCAUCAAAUUUUACAUGCAUAGAUUCUUCAACACAUUGUGUUUCUGAAUUAUACACUCUGUAUGCCUUUGACCUUUCAGAGUAACCUAAAAAGAUUCCUCUUUGAGCCUUGGCAUCAAAUUUCUUCAGAUAGUCUUUAGUGUUUAAGAUGUAACAAGUACAUCCAAACUGAUGAAAGUAAGAGAUAUUGGGUCUUCUUCCUUUAAAGAGUUCAUAUGUUGUUUUCUCCAACAUAGGUCUGAUAUAGAUCCUAUUUUGAAUAUAACAUGAAGUAUUGACUGCUUCUGCCCAAAAAUGUUUAGCUAAGUUGUUUUCAUGGAUCAUGGUUCUGGCCAUUUCUUGUAAGGUUCUGUUCUUUCUUUCUACAACCCCAUUUUGUUGUGGAGUUCUAGGAGAAGAAAACUCAUGGAGAAUCCCAUGUUUUUCACAAAAAAAUUCAAAUGGCUCAUUUUCAAAUUCUCCACCAUGAUCACUUCUGACUUUCAAAAUUUUCAAUUCUUUUUCAGAUUGUAUUUGAGUGCAGAAGCUGCUAAACACUUCACAUGCAUAGUCUUUACUUUUAAUGAAUUUUACCCAAGUCCAUCUGCUGUAAUCAUCAACAAUGACUAAUCCGUAUUUACUUCCAUAUAAAGAUGCAGUGUUAACUGGACCAAAAAGAUCAAUAUGGAGUAAUUCUAAGGGUCUGGAGGUUGAUACAAUGUCUUUAGAUUUGAAAGAACUUUUCACAAUUUUCCCUUUCUGACAUGCACCACAAAGUGCAUCUGAAUGAUAAUCAAUGUUAGGCAAUCCUUUGACCAGUUGUAACUUGCUAAUUUUAGAAAUUAAUCUCCAAUUAGCAUGUCCCAACCUUUUAUGCCAUACCCAUUUUUUAUCAUUCAUUGACAGAAGGCAAACUACCUUCUGAUCAGCCAGAUCAGAGAAAUUUAUUUUAUAAACAUUCUCAACUCUCUUUCCCUUGAAUGUAAUGGAUUUGUCAUCCUUGUUGACUAGUGUGCAGUUGGUCUUACUGAACGUUACAUCAUACCCAUUGUCACAAAAUUGACUAAUGCUCAAUAGGUUAUGCUUCAGACCAUCUACUAGCCACACAUUAUUAAUUGAGAUGGAGGAAUUACCAAUAGUACCUGUACCAAUGAUCUUUCCAGUUUGGUUGCCACCAAACUUCACUUCUCCUCCAUCUUUCAUUGUAAGGGUAAGGAACAAAGCUUUCUCUCCAGUCAUGUGCCUUGAACAUCCGCUGUCUAGGUACCAUGACCUUUGUUUCUCUCUUGCCCUUAAGCACACCUGCAUUUUUGGCCAAUUCAGAUUUAGGUACCCAUAUCUUCAUGGGUCCUUUUGGGUUAGUUUUGGAGGUUUUACUUUUCCUCCCUUGUACCUUAGGGUGAAUGCUGAGUGGCUUCUGAUCAUUCAAUACUUUGGGUUUGACACCUUUUGGUAUUGUUUUCUCAGAAGCAGUAGCUGCUUUGUUCUUCUGAUCCUUUUGUUUUGGAAUUUUAGAUUCUGGUUUAAUCAGAUUCUGAUGAACAGGUUCUGAUCUUUUCAGAAUUUUAAUCUUUUGACUCUUAGGAUCAGAUUUUGUCAUUACCUUGAUCUUAAGAUUCUCUGGCUUUGAUGUGAUCUUAGCCUGUGAACCUGAAGCUUCAGGUUUUGACUGAACAGCAGUUAUAGCAUUUGUACCUUCAGGCACAAAGGUGGAUUUCAAUCCAUCCUUGAUACAAUCACAGUAGCUCUUGAGACUGUAUUCUUUGGAUUUCUCCUCAGAAUAUCCAAUCCCUUUGCCUUUGUUCUUGUAUGUGCUGUAGAUCAUAGAAGCAACUUUGCUUCUGUCUAUUCCAGCCAUAAUAAAAUCAUCCAAGGCAAUCUCAUGUUUAUUGCCUGAACCUUUAUCACAUUUUUCUUGUAGCUUCUGACAAAGACUCUUGAGUCUAUCUUCAUAUGUUGUUGAUAUGAGGUUAAACCCUUUGAGUUCUUCUUCAGAAGCUUUCAGUUCCAAUAGAGUUGAUUUUUGUUGUUUCAUCAAAUCAACAUAUUUUUCUUUUAAAUCUGUCAACUCAUUGGUUCUGUGUUCAAAUAGUGAUAAAAGUUCUUUUAGAGAAUCAACAAGUUCUUGUCUAGGGAUUUUGGAAUAUACCUCAUUUUCAUCUUCUGAAUCUGAUUCAGCUUCUGAUACUGCUUCUGAUGAUACUGUUGCCACUAAUCCAACGGCUGCCUUAGCAUCAUCAUCAGCUUCUUCUUUAUCAGAACCAGAUUCACUAUCCAAAUCUUCCCAGGUCGCCAUCAAGCUCUUUUUGAUUUGCUUUCUGAAUUUACUGGAGUUGAAGCUUGAUUUCUUGGAUUUGCCUUUAAACUUCUCCUUCUGAAGAUCAGGGCAAUCAGCAAUGAAAUGACCAGGCUUCUUACAAUUGAAGCAUCCCUUCUGAUCUUCUUUCUUGAAGUUCUUGUAGCUACCUCUCUUGCUCAAAAAUUUCUUCUGCUUCCUUGCCAGAUACUCAAGCUUGUUGGACAGCAUAGCCAUCUUUACAGAUUGAUCUUCAUCAGAAUCUCCAUCAGGUGAUUCUUCUUCAGAUUCACUGGCUUUGUAGGCUUUGGAAGACUUUGAGGUCUUUCCUUUAGAUGGUAAAGCAAUGGAUUUACUCUUCUUAGAGGUUUCAUGCUCAUUUAAACUCAUUUCAUGCACUUUGAGUGAGCUAACAAGAUCUUCAACACUUAAAGUAUUUAGAUCCUUAGCUUCCUCAAUAGCAGUUACUUUGGGUCUCCAUCUUGAAGGUAAGCUUCUCAAAAUCUUACUAACAUGAUCAGAAGCAACAUAGCUUUUCUUCAGUAUCUGCAAUCCAGAAACUAAAGUUUGAAAUCUUGAGUACAUUUCUUCUAUACUCUCAUCAUCCUUCAUUCUGAAAAGUUCAUACUGAUGAACUAGCAUCAAAGCUUUAGCCUCUUUCACCUUCUUGCUGCCUUCAAAGUUGGCACAUAGUGACGCAAACAUAGCCUUCGCAGUAGAUUUGUCACUCAUCUUCAUGUAUUCAGUGCGAGGUAUAGAAGCCACAAUAAUCCCUCUGAUUUUGUGGUGCUUCUUGUAAAGCUUCUUCUGAGCAGGAGUAUGUAUUUUUCUAUCUAUAGCAGCUCCUUCUUCAUCUAAAUCCAGGUCAUCAACUCCAUCUUCCAGUAUGUCCCAUAACUCUUCAUCUAAUCCCAUGAUAAAGCUGUACAUAUUAGUUUUCCACCAAGAAAACUCUUCUGGAUCUCCAUUAAACCUUGGAGCUUUUCCAGAGUCUGUUUUCUUGUCAGCAGUAUCAUAGUCAUGCUUGACGCUUGUGUAUUUUGGAGUAACUGAUUCCUCAUCUCCAGACAUGUUUUUCUAAUAGAUCUUGAACUGUAACACGGUUAAGUGCUGUGAUAACAGAGCAGGCUCUGAUACCAAUUGAAGGUGAAAAACACAAGAAGGGGGGGUUGAAUUGUGUUUUCUUUUUCUCUUAAAAAAGGAUUCUUCUUCUGAUAAAACUUCAGAAGCAGUUUGAUUGCUUCUGAUGAAAUGAUCAGAGUCAGAUUGCAGCGGAAAAGAACAGAGCAGAGAAAAGAAAGACAAAUACACAGGCAGUUAUCCUGGUUCCUUCCACAACACGGAAGUAGUCCAGUCCCCCUUGCACUUCCAAGGAGAUUUCACUAUAAUCACAAGAUUACAACUGCUCAAUACUUUCAAAGUAUGAGACUUCACAAAACAAUGCUCAAGCACACACGCAAGAGUCUUCCAAUGCUCAAGCACUAAGCAAGAGACUUCUAAUGCUCAAGCACGCAGGCAAGAGACUUCUAAUCAAACAAAAAUACAGAGAAUUGAGUUUGAAUUGAACACUUGAUAUACAAUCAGUGGUGUUCACAAUACAAUACAGAAAAGACUCUAGACUUUGAAUUUCUAAGAUGUAUCAAAUCAGUGCAGAAAUUCAGUGUGCUUUGUAGAAUCAAAUUGACAGAGUUUUGGCGCUUUUGAACUUAUGUAUCUCUAUCUAAAAUCUUCAAGUCUUCAUUCCUUUAUAUAGAGGCGUGAAAGAGACGUUGAGAUAAUCAGCACGUCUAAAGAGUCGUUUGAAAUCCUUUGAUUAUCCACCAGUGAUCCUUUGCCUGAUUUGGGUGUAGUCCUUUGAAGAAUAAACUUCAAAUUCAUUCCCAUCUUGAGUGUACAAAUUCUGCAGGCAUGGCUGUUGUUUUGUCUUGUAGCGUAGACAGAAAACAGAGUAGUGGUGGUAGUGGUUGUAACACUUGUACUUUGUCAACUCUAUUAAUGAGAGACAAGUGCUCAGUGCUAUCCAUAUAUCCGUUGAUACCUCCCUUUCAAUUCUUCAUUCUUCUUUGAUAAGAAUGAAUUGAGAAUCAGCAACUUUGAAUCUUCAGUUUGACUAAAGGAUCAAAUGUAGCUUCUGGUGAAAAUAUUGCUUCUGAUGAAAACUUUUGCUUCUGAUGACUUUCUGCUUCUGAUGACUUUCUGCUUCUGAUGACGUCAUCUCUUCAGGAGCAGUUUAGCUUCAGGAGCAGUUUUCUUCAGAUGCUCAGAAUUUCUUUUUUCUUUCCAUUGUUCUUCCAAGACCUAUUGAAAUAACUUGAGUAGCCUUUGGUCCUGUACACUUGAACAAUUAUUAGUAAUAACCAAUUGACAAUUUUUAAUACCUUGUUAUCAUCAAAACUUAAUAAGGUUCAUUGUGAAACACAUUUUGUUCCAACAUAAUUUUCUGCCAAACUCUAUCUUUAGUAAAGCUGAAGGUUGCUUGUUUAUUCCUUCCUACCAUAGAAGGAAACCCAGAUAUUUACCUGUAACAAGAACUGGAUAUACUCUGAGGAUUGAUGUAAUCAUUUGUUGGACAUUAUUAUCAACAUUCCUACUACAGUAAAUUUCAGACUUCGGCAAACCGAUUGCCUAACCUGAAGCCGCCUCAUAAGUGGUAAGGAUUUCCUUCAUUUUAUGUGCUUCCUCCUCUGAAGACCUGAAAAAUAAGAAGCAAUCGUCGGCAAAAAGAAGAUGAGUAAUCAUAGGUGCAUUCCGACAAAUUUUUGCUCCAUGAAUUUCUCCACGAACUUCAACUUGCGUAUUAAAGCAGAAAGCCCUUCAACACACAAAAUAAAUAAAUAUGAGGACAACGGAUCCCCUUGGCGAAACCCUCUUCCUGGAAUUAUAGGCCCCACUCACUCUUGAUUUACUAACACCGAGUAAUCAACAGUUUCAAUACACAUCAUGAUCCAAGUCACCCAUUGGUGACAAAAACCCAUUGUCAUCAUCACCUCCUUCAAGUACAUCCAAUCUAUUCUGUCAUAUGCCUUGCUGAUAGGGUUGGGAAUAGGCCAGGCCGGCCUACAGGGGCCUACGGCCUGGCCUGUUUUGGCCUGGCCUGGCCUGGACUGUUUAGUAGAUAGGCCUAGGCUUAGGCUUUUAGGAAAGCCUGUUUAGUUAAAUAGGCCAAGCUUAGGCUUCAAAAAAAGACUGUUAAGCCUAAUAGGCCGGCCUAUUAAUACUUAUUUAUUAAAAAAAGAAAAAUCAUAUUAAAAUAAUUGCAUAUAUUAAAAAUAUAAACCUCUUUUUCUCUAUCUAUUAGUCCCUUAAUAGGCUUUGUUGUUAUAGGCUUUUAUGUAGGCUUUAAUCUAGUUGAAAUUUACUUGUAGUGAAAUAGGCUUUUAAGUAGGCUUUAAGACAUGUUUAACCUAUUUAGUAGGCAAAAUGAACUAUUUGAUAGUCUUAAUGUGAAGUAGGCCUGUAAGUAGGCUUUCAGGUCAGUCCAGGCUUUUAAAUAGGCCAGACCAGGCCUAGAAAAACGACCUAUGAUAGGCCAUAGGCCAGGCUCAGGCUUGUGAUUUAUUUCGUAGGCCAGGCUCAGGCCUAUCAAAGCCUGGCCUAUUCCCACCCCUACUUGCUGAUGUCAAGCUUCAACGCCACAUUGCCUUUCUUACCAACAGUUUUCAGUUUCAUAUAAUGAAUCACUUCAAUAGCUACCAUUGCAUUAUCUAAGAUAGACCUUCCAGGAACAAAAGCAGACUGAUUUUUAGAAAUACAUUUAUCCAACACUGUCUUUAACCUGUUCACUAAAACCUUCGACAACACUUUAUAAAGCACAUUGCAUAACGCUAUUGGGCGGCAAUCCUUCAUUGUCUGUUGUUCUAUACAUUUAGGAAUAAGUGCAAUAUUGGUAGCAUUUAAAGAAGCCGGAAAUUGUCCAUUACCUAACCAAGCAACACACUCCUUAAAAAUAUCCGGGCUGCAAACUUCCCAAAAAUGUUGGUAAAAACCUGGAUUAAAUCCAUGUGGCCCUAGACACUUAUCUGAGCUCAUUGAGAACAUCAAUUCCUUGAAUUCCUCUAUCUGAAAAGGCGAAGAGCAUUCAAACUUUGUUAGCUACAGAUGCCUUAAAUCGUAAAUAAUUAAUUUUGGUUUUAUUCCAAAUCUACCACCACUAUACAACACACAAAAAAUUCUCUCUUCCCACUAUCUCUUUCCUCCCACGAAUGACUCCCACCACCACCGCCUGUGUUAAGACAUAUUCAUAGGACCGUGGUACCGAAACGAUACUCUUGACAGAUCCCUUUCUCCCAUGCGUGAUUCACCAUGAAUCGGAGAUGUAUUCUCCUCCAUCUCUCCCUCCCUCUCUCUAUCUCUCUCUCUCACUCACUCUAUCUCUCUCUCUCUGUGUAUCGGCCACCACAAAAUACAAAGGGGUGUCGUUUUUCUAAUGUUGUCGUAUUAGACAUUGUGUUAAUGUGUCAUUGACUUUCCUUGUGAGCCUGUAUAUGUAAACAUAUUUGAGAUUUGAUCAUUUUGAAAAUUUGACGAUUUUGGAAAAGUUUUGAAAUACGAAUUUUAACAGAGAUAUAUGAUUUAAAUGAGCAUAUCUAUGGUACUCCUACCAGAAUCGUUGAAAGAACGGUCUAUGAAACUCGAAUAGAUUAAUAGAUUUUCCCUUUUAGCACAUUUAAGCCCUUUUUUUCUUUAUCUCUUUGUCUUUUUCCCUUUUUACAUUAUUCAAAAACCCGUACAAUUCUUCGAUUCAUAACUAUGCUUUUGUCACUUUAAACCUAUCAGCUAAGGACCCUUUAAGGAUCAAGAUCGAAUCCUAUAAUGCCCUUGGUUUUGAUUCAAGACAUUACUUUUAUUUCUUUUUCUUUUUUUUUUAGAAAUAUAGGACUAUUUUUUUUGGUUUAACCAUAGUCAUUAAUAAUAAAUGUAUAACCGAAACUUAGACAAAAAUUCAUAAAAUAGUUUAAUUAAAAUUCUUAAAAUAAAAAACCUUUAAAAUAUUAAAAAUUACAAUCAAAUCAAAAACCAAACUUUGUCCCCCUUAAGUGCUACAAGCAAAACGUCAAGUACACAUCAUCUCUUCUUUGGUACUUAAAAUAUUGGUUGUUUGUGAGGGUUAGUCUUCAACAUCCAUAAAAUAAAAUCAAUAAUAAAUUAUAACAAGAAAUAAGAAUAUACAACCAUUAUCAAGGAAUCAUAAUAAACAAUUUCAAUUUCUUAUUCAUUUAGAAUAUUAUUCACUCCAAAUGUACUAUAAAAACAAACACAAGACUCAAUGCUAAGGCAUAUGCAUGAAAAUGCAAGUGCAUAAUAAUUUUAAUCUCUCCAUUUGGCACUUAAUAAUACAUUGAAUCGUCUCAUUUGCCACUUAAUAAUUCAUUGAUUCGUUCCCAAAAUGUCAUAGAUGAGGUGCCUACGAACAAUCUCCCUACAUCCACAAAUCCCGUUUUUGAACAUGUUGACCAACAAAAGCAUUCAAAGUUCGUUGAGGUUCCAGUUCCAGUUGAUCAGACACAAGAGCGGGUUCUUAAUGAUGAUGUCAAAUUCGUGAUAUGCAGCAAAAUAUGGGGCAGAAGUUCCUUUUACACCAUACUUGACAAAGAAACAAUAGCAACAACUUAAAAGAGCAUACCAAACAUGUUAUAAGGAUGAACCAUCCCCACUUACGAAAUUAAGGUUCUAAGCUGGAAUUCGAGAUUCGAGGUACACGCUGUGCGAUUAAGCUUAGAAACUAUGGUCACUCUGAUCAGAGGUAAAUAUGGUUGGAGCCUUUACCACCAUUUCUUAGGGAGGACUUCUUUAGGACUACUUUGCCUUACCUUUUUUUCGUUUUCAUUGGUCCUCUUGUUUAUUUUGUUUUCCUUUUUAGUUUUUUAAGUAGUUUUUGUUCGGUCCCCCCUAUUUUUUUUUUUUUUUUUCAUUUUUUAAUAAAUAUUAUAUGAGUUAGGUGUCAUAGGAUGGGAGUGUCAUGGAGGUACCAAUUCAAUUGGGAUGUAUAUGAUACCCCUGAUGUUUAUCCUUUCUGUUAAUUAAUUAAAAAAAAUUGUCCCAUUUGUCACUUAAUAUUAAUCCCCCGAUUUGGCACCUAUUCCUUCAACUCACUCUUUCUUUACUUUUUUGAAGUUUUAUACUCUCAAACCACAUGACUUGUCAAUUCACAAAAUCACUAAAACUUCAUAGUGAGCAAAAUUUCAUAAGACAUCUAAACGACAAAUCAACGAAGAGUCACUUUAAAUCAAUCAAAUCUCCAAUUUCACAUAUCACAAAUCCAUUCCUUGUUUGGUGACUUAACCAGCGUAGACACAGCUAUAGUAGUACUAUUGCAGCCAAGGUAAUGGAGUAGUGGUUGUACAAUUGUAUUAUGUCCUUUUUUUGCGCUCUUCAGUGGAUAGUCAUCCAAUGCCUUCUAAUUCCUCUGAAAUAGUCAUUGCUCUAGUCUUUUAUUCCUUCUGCAAUGAUGUGUCUUCAGAAUAACAAACUUUAACUAACUACAUCUCCUUGGCUUCAGACUCUGAUGGUCUUCAGACUCUUGAUGACGUCAGACUCUGGCAGUUUGCUUCUGAUGGUCUUCAGACUCUGUCUUGCAACAUAAGCUUCCUUUGCUAAUUUCAUUGCUCUCUUUUGUUCCUUCAAAACCAAUACUUGGAUAUAAUACUUAUAAAUUAUUUUCUAUGAUCCUGCACACUUGAACAAAUAUUAGCAUAUCCAACAAUAUACUCAUAUUAGAGGUGACGAUGGACAUUAACUUUUUUUUUGACAAAAUACAAAUCAGUGAGCUUAGGACCAAAACUCCGAAAAAUUGAAAUAAAAGGACCAAAACACAAAUUCAAAACAAGGGUAUCAAAACUCUGAAACAUUUGAAAGAGAAGGACCAAAAAUCUUAUUUUUAAAAUAAGGAGGAUCAAAACUUUAUCUUUUUUAUUUUAAAAUAGGAAGGACAAAAAUGCAUUCAAGCCUUAAAAAACUACACUCUCCUCUCCCUUAGAAAACUCGGAUCUCAUUCUCCUUAAUGUUAAAAUGUGUGUUGCUAGUAUUUUUCAUUUCCUUAAUGUUAAAAUGCAUUAAAAACAAUCAUUCAAACGAGCAUGUAUGUCUACUAUUUUAACUGUGUUAACUCAUGUAAAUUAUAAACAAUGUUUAUAUUAAAUUUUUAUUAUGAUUAAUAUGCUUAAAUAGCUAAAAAAAUAUAGUAAAUUUAUAAUUUAACUUAAAUUAACAAAUUAAUAAUAACACUAAAAGAAAAAUAUUUUUUUUAUGUGUAGUAGAUGGUUCUGAUAAGAUUAAAAGUCUUUUUGUGAUGCACCUUGUACUUGACCUAUUGACCGUUAAGUUUCUUUAUUUAAAUAACAAGAUCGGUUUGACCUACAUAUGACUUAACUUUGGUCGUAAGUCUCUAUCCACAUAUUUGACUUAUUGUAACAGUUACGUAAGGUUAUUGUGCCAUAUGUCAUCUUUAUCGUUGAUUGACACCUCAUAGACAAUAUUUUUAAUGAAUUGUUUUGUUUGACUCAAUAAAAAUAAGAAAUUUUUGUCUUUUCCUAUUAAAUUUGACUUUUUUUUUACUUUUUUCUAAAUUCAAAAUUUAAAUAUUCUAAGUGUAGUUUUGUAGUUAAUUUUUGGUUUGUAGGGGCCUGAAUUUGAACCUACAGAUUCCAUACUUCUCUGAACUUAUUAUAUGAGUCUAAACACUAGGCUACUUGACAAAAAAAUUCAACAAAAAAUAAUAUGAUAAUGUUUAUCCUUUUAUUAUGAAUAUAAGUAGAUUGUGCUAAUAAGAUUAAAAGUCUUUCUGAUGCGCCUUGUACUUUACCUAUUGACUGUUAAUUUUCUUUAUUUAAAUAAUAAGAUUGGUUUGACCAACGCAUGAACUACCCUUGGUAGUUAAUAAUAAGAUAGGAUUACUAUAUUUUUAGGGAAUAUUCUAAGUGUAAUUCGGUAGUUAAUUUCAUGGACAUUGGUUUGUAGGGGCCUGAAUUUGAACCUACAUAUUUCAUACUUCUCUGAACUAAUUAUUAGAGUCUAAACACUAGACUCAAAAAGUUCAACAAUAAAUGAUAAGAUAAUGUUUAUCCUUUUAUCAUGAAUAUAAGUAGAUUGUCCUAAAAAUAUUAAAAGUCUUUCUGAUGCGCCUUGUACUUUACCUAUUGACUGUUAAGUUUCUUUAUUUAAAUAAUAAGAUUGGUUUGACCUACGCAUAACGUAACUUUGGUCGUAAGGCUUAUCAAUAUUAUUGACUUACUUUAAUGGUUACGUAAGGUUAUCGUGUCAUAUGUCAUCUUUAUCGUUGAUUUAAUACCUCACCGUCAAUAUUUUUAAUGAAUUCUUUUCUUUGACUCAAUAAAAAUAACAGUUUUUAUCUUUUCCUAUUAAAUUUGACUUUUUCUUGAUUGUGUUCUAAAUUCAAAAUUUAAAUAUUCUAAGUGUAGUUCGGUAGUUAAUUUCAUGGACAUUGGUUUGUUGGGGCCUGAAUUUACUCCUAGAGAUUCCAUACUUCUCUGCACUAAUUAUAUGAGUCUAAACACUAUGCUACAUGACAAAAAAAUAAGGUUAACUGUUACAUAAGGUUAUCGUGUCAUAUGUCAUCUUUAUCGUUGAUUUGACAUCUGAUAGACAAUAUUUUUAAUGAAUUGUUUUGUUUGACUAAAAAAAUAAACAGUUUCUUUCUUUUUCUAUUAAAUUUGACAUUUUCAAGAUUGUGUUCUAAAUUCAAAAUCUAAAUAUUUUAAGUGUAGUUCGGUUGUUAAUUUCUUCAACAUUGGUUUGUAGAGGCUUGAAUUCGAACCUACAGAUUUCCUACAUCUCUGCACUUAUAGUGUGAGUCUAAACACUAGACUACUUGACAUUCAACAUUUAGUAAUAAUAUAAUGUUUAUCCUUUUAUUAAGAAUAUAAGUAGAUUGUCCUGAUAAGAUUAAAAGUCUUUCUGAUGCGCCUUCUUCUAAGGGUAUUGACUGUUAAGUUUAUUUAUUUAAUAAAAAGAUUGGUUUAACCUACGCAUGACGUAACUUUUGUCGUAAGUCUCUAUCAACAUAUUUCACUUAUUUUAAUUGUUACGUAAAGUUACUGUGUCAUAUAGCAUCUUUAUCGUUGAUUUUACACCUCAUAGACAAUAUUUUUGAUAUAUUGUAUUGUCUACUUACUAUAUUAUAAAGAUAAAUCCCUAUGAUUUUACCAUUUUGCCCCUAUGAGAGGCAUUUUUGUAAUUUCCUAUUGAUGGGGUGUGGUUAGUGUCACCUCAUCAUUUUUAGGGUGCAUUUCCCAUUUUGCCCCUCACCAUUUUUUUAAUUAUUUUAUAUUUUAAUAACUUUUAACUAUUUUGAAAUUUUUAUUUUUUUAUCCAUUUUUCAAUUUUUUCACCCAAAUUCAGUUGCUUCUACAUUGCCGUUGUGGGAUAUUAAGGUAUCAUUUGACCCAGCUUUUUUCCAACUUCCCUACACUUUUAAGGAGAAGUUAGGUCAAACACACUAUCAAUUAUUUUAAUUUCAAUAUUGUUUAAUCAUCACAACCUCACAAAUAUUUUUAUUCACACUGUCAUUUAAUGAUACCAAAUACUUUUAUUUCCUUUCUUCAACCUCGCAAAUAUUUACACACAUUAAUGUUUAGAGUAAUUUUUUAUGUCUGUCUGUCUGUGUUUUUGUUACGCUGAUGCAAUUUCUUUUAGUGUUGCUUGAUUGAGUGCUACCUCACCGAUUUUUUUUAACUAUUUUCCAAUUUUCAUAUUUUUAAAAACUUUUGACUAUUUUCCAAUUUUUUUAUUUUUAACUAUUUCCCAAUUUUUUCUUCCAAAUUCAGUUGCUUCUACACUGCCGUUGUGGGAGAUUAAGAUACUAUUUGACCAGUUUUUUUUUCAACUUCUGUACAUUUUUAAGGAGAAGUUAGGCCAAGUAUAAUAUCAAUUAAGUACUUACUAAAAAAAGUACUUUCUUUUAAUGCAUAAAAUUGAAUGGAAUGAGUUUUGGCCAAAAGUUGUUGAAUGCUACUUCAAAAACUACUUCUCGACAAUUUAUUUAACAAGCAUCUAUCUUAUAUUCACGUUGGGAACCUUUUCUUUUAUUUUCUAAUAUUAUAUUUCAAUAUGUUUUUUUUUCUUCCAUUUAAUUUUUUUUAGCCGAUCCAUUUAAUUUUUUUAAGGAGGUUUCAUUUAAUUUUAUUACCUUUUUUUCAAAGAAAUUUUAUUAUCUUUUUAUCACUUAUAUAUUUAAUUUAAAUAUCGUUUAAUCAUAACAACCUCACAAAUAUUUUUAUUCACGCUAUCAUUUAAUGAUACAAAAUAUGUUUAUUUUCUUUCUUCAACCUCACAAAUAUACAGACACACAUAUUAACGUUUAGAGUAAUACUUUAUGUGUGUCUGUUUUUUUGUUACACUAAUGCUAUAAUUUGUAUAAAAUUUUGAUUUUAAUUAAAAGUAAAAUUAUAGAUGUCUUUACUUCAAAAAAGGCAUAGAUGCCUAAAAAAAUUAUACUUAUCUUUUAUAUAUAUAUAUAUAUAUAUAUAUAUAUAUAUAUAUAUAUAUAUAUAUUGUCAUAUCCCAAAUUUGGACCAUUUGAAAUCUUUCUUGUCCGCAUUUUAUAUUAGUCCAGAUUCUCUUUUAUGCGUUUUUUUUACCUUUUAAAACUCGUGUUUUUCGUCAUUAAUCAUUUAAAGACUUUCAUCUGGCAUUUAAGUCCUCGCUCGCUUUUUUUACAAUAUUUAAAAUCACUUCAUUUGAAUUUUUAUAAACGCAUUUUAUAAUCCUUUUAGUCAUAACAGGCAAGUCAUUUUAAAAUGGCUAAUUGUAUUUUAAAAGGCGUGUCUUUUUAAAUCAUUUCAACCGAAAUUCCGGCAGGGAGGAUACUUUGAAGUACCUCAUGUCAGAUUCCGAAGGGACUUUUUAUUUUUUUAUUUUUUUUUAUUUGUCUUUUUUUAGUUUGUUUAUUUUUAUUUUAUUUUGUUAUUAUUAUGUUUUUUAUUUUUUUAUUUUUUUUUAUUUAAAAAAAAAACAAAGAAAGAAAGAAGACUCACGUCUUCCUCUCUUCUUUUCUUUUUUCUUUUCUUUUUCUUUUCUUUUUAUUUAUUUUAUUUAUUUAUUUAUUUAUUUGUUAAGCUUUUGUCCCCAAGUCUCAGCUGCAGGGGCAUUUUGGUCAUUGUUUUGCACCAGAGCCAACCCUAAUUUGUCACUAUAAGUACACAGCAAUCAUUGGGAAAUGGGUCCAAAAAAAAUUCACUGUUCACACGCGUCAGAGUCAGAAAACGGGUCAGAUUGGUCCCUAUCAUACCACAAACACUUUUCCCUUUCUCUCUCAUCUAAAUUCCAGAUCUAACACUAAAAAAAUCAAAGAAAAUGAUGAACAUUCAUAUGAGUUCAUCAUAAACCUUCAUUUUUUUCCAGAAAUUCACCUCAAACCUCACGUAAUCCCGAACAACAGUCACGAAUCAUUUCAUUUCACCCAUACACAAGUUGUUUCAUUCUCGGAUUUAGAACAACAACCAUACCAAAACGUAAAUCCAACCCAAACAAAACCGGUUCCAAGCUUCAAAGAACCAGAUCGGAGCUAAAUAGACCGGAUUCGCGAGAAAGGAAACGGAACGCGCACAUAAAGAAAGAACAAGAGCAAAUCGGACCAGAAACAACAACAACAAAGCAAAAAGAGGUAAAAAAAAUUCAAAUCUUCAUUUGUAGAUCUAGCUCAAAUUUCUCUACCCUUUUUAAAACUAAUACCGGAUUCGAGUAGAGGAAGGGAAGAGGAGUGGUUUGAUGUAAAAAAAUUUCGAAAAAAAGCAAAAAAAAAACUCCGGCGCGACGGCGCUCCGGCCGACCACCGCGCCGGAGCAGCUCCGGCCGCCCCUCCCCCACCUUCUUCUCCGGCGAGAUUCCUAGAGAGAAGUGGGAGCUUCUCUCUCUAGGUUUUUAGAAAGAGGUUUUUUGUGAAUUGUGUUAUGUUUUUUUUGUUAGAACUCUUUUAUAAUGCUUUCUUUUUUGUUGGAUCUUGUGCACAUGCGCAUACUGCAAUUCAGUGCUCCAUCGCGUUACAGCCCUUGGAUCUGGAUCAUUCCUUGAUCUGAGGGCUCCUGUGUAUCUUGAUUUUGGAUCAGGUGGAUUUUUUUUCUGCGUGAGUAUGGUGUGGUUUCUGUUUGGACCAUCAGAUCGUUGAUCUGACGGUCACUGUGUUUUCAGUAUAAUCCCUUUGUUUCUAUGUUGUUCUUGUGACCCUUGGAUCGUUGGAUCCAAUGGCUGUGAUGAAUCCAGUGAAUGAAUCUGGACUAUUGAUUUAAUCCAAUGGUCCAGAAUUAAUCCUGCUGAGCCAAUGUUUUAUUAUUUUUUAUUUUUAAUUAUCUUUAUUUUUUUAAAUACUGUUUUUACACUUUGUUGACAUUUUUGUGGUUAGAAAAAUUCCAAAAAAUAUUUUUUCUCACUAUUUUAAUUUUCCCUAAUUUUAAAAAUCCUUUCUAUUUGUUUUCUUUUGUGUUUUUUGUUUAUCUCUUAUAUGAUGACCUUAAUUUUUAUUUGUCUUAAUUCUUGCUUAUUAUUUCUUAUGUCUCAUUCAUCAUAAUAUUUCUUGUGAUUACUAACUAUUUAAUUUUUGUCUUGAAUCAUAGCAUGCACAUUUAAUUUUCUCAUUAUUUUAUUUUGUCAUUGACUUAGUAUGUAUAAAUAGGGAAUUGAUGUAAUUUUAUUUCUUGCAUUUUAUUUUGGCAUAAAGGCCUUAGGGUUGUAUCUAGGAAUUGAUGUAAUAAUGUAGGUAACACAAGCACCGACACAUGCACCGACACUACCACAUUUUAUUUACCGCUUUCCGUUAGUUUUUACGAUGUUACGUUAGUUAUCACCGUUAGUUUAGAAAAAACCUUUUUAUCAAAAAAAAUCAAAUAUGUCAAAUUCAAAAAAAAAAUCAUUUUCUUAGCAACAUUUUCUCUUUAUUUUCUUAAUCAAAUUCUCAAUCAAUCUUAAUUCAACUUCAACCAUUUCUUUUCAAAAAUCAAUCAACCUCACUCAUUUCUUUUAUCUCAUGCCUUGAGGCCUCUUUCUCUUCUUAAAACUCAUUUUCAAAAAAUCUUAAAAUCAACCUAACCCACCAAAGAAAUUCUUGAGUGGAACUACGUCGGUUUUGAUCCCUUCCCAAAAGGGUAUGUAGGCAGAGGACUCGUCCUUCCAAAUCAAAUAAAAAUAACCAAAAACAUACUUCUUCUCCCUCCAUUCUUUCACUUAGAUUUUAGGUAAUAAUUUUUCAAGUAAGCCAAAUGAAUUUAGCACAAGAUAAUUUAGGUAAGCGGUUCCUUCGGAGUACCGAAGUCGUUUAGGGUGCUUAACACCUUCCCUAUUCGAAACCAACCCCCGAAUCCAAAGUCUCGAAAAGGGUUUUUACUCAUUUUUUCCCUUCCCAAGAAUAAAAAUCGAGAGUUCAAAGAUCGACGAUUCAAAUCAAUUAAUGGUUUGACAUCCGAAAAUCGCGAGCACAUAUAUAUAUAUAUAUAUAUAUAUAUAUAUAUAUAUAUAUAUAUAUUGCACCUUUAUAUCGUAACAAACUAUGCAUAUAUUUUUCUUAUUCAAAAAAACUAAACAUUGCUAAAUAGAAAAGUUAUUAUUUUAUAUUGUGUCAGCAUUAGAUGAUAGGAUUUUGUAUAAGUUUGAUAAUGACCCGGAAGAUGUCUUUCCUUAUGUAGUGGGAAUAUAGCUGAUGUAACACUAUGGAAAAAAUACUCCGUAGCUUUACCAUUUACCAUCUAUUUACCUUGAGUUCUUUGCUUCCAUUUUGUAGUCAAUGGCAACCCAAAUAUAUGUAACAAUUGAUCAGGUUCGAGGCUGCUCAUCAACCUACAUCAUCCGGUUGUUGAGAAGUUUAAGACUUAGUAAGUUUGCAUUAUGAUUUCACAAUACAGUGUUAGAGUAAUUUAUUAUUUCACAAUCCGAUUUGAUUGUUUUUUGACCAUGUUUCUUGAAUUGUUGUCGUGAACUUAAUACUUCUCAAGCUCAGAGUCAAAGCUUCAGUUAGAACUUCAGUCAGAGUUCGACUUCUUCUCAACGUACUUUGUACAACGAUUUUUCCAAACUAUCUCAGGUUAGGCCAAUUGCUGAAUUUAUAAACUUAGUCAAUGUCUGCUUUUUUUAUGCACAAACAUGUUUUGAGUUUUUUUACGCACAAAUUAAAAAUACAUAUUGCAUUAUUCUUUAUUUCAUGUGCAUAAUUUGUGUUAGGAAACAUACUGCAUCACUAUUUUGUAAACAACUAAAUUCAAUCCUAACCAGUUUGGAUUGUAUUAUGACAAUUCCACCAAAUGUUCGAAGACAUCAAUGUCAAAUGGUGCUAGCUGUAUAUGCACAUGCGGAAGUGAUGCUUAAUUUCCAUUUGUUUCAAUAAUGUUAAUUGGUCAACGGGGUACAUAUAAUGUACAUGCAUGCAUUUAUCUAGACUUUAUAGGAAGAUAAUAGGAAGAUAAUUUAGAAGUCAUGCUACAUUUUCUUUAGUUUAAAAUCAGUUAUACUACCUUUAUUUUAUAAAUUAUAUGUAACUAUAUUCGCAUACAUCUUAUCCAUGUAAAUAUGCAUUAGACUAAUAUUGCAGUUAUUCUCCUAUUUAGCAUUUCCCAAACGAGGUGUCAAGAACAAUUCUGAAAGGAAAGCGCAAAGCAAUCUCUCAUUGAUGACCAGACACAGAGACAGUAUAACUGUCACCUCAUUAUCACCGAUAAAGCAAGCUACGAAAAUUACUUGGGUGGACAGUGGUUCAAUUUCUGCAGAUAACGAGUGAUGGAAGAAGGUGGUAAGCAUCUUUGAUCUCGAAAAGUCACAGAAGAAUUUACAAAUUCGAGUUGUUGCAAAGUAGAUCUUUGUUGUUGAACUAUUUGAACUUCUACUAUUUUGACGUAUCUUGACUUUGGGAUGUCAUUUGUUCUUUUCAUUUUGUCUGGUGUAAAUAUUGGCAAAAAUCCCUUUUUGGUUAGUCUAUGAAACUUGCAAUCUCUUUUAUAAACCUAAUUAUUAUGUAACGUUAAUCUACACAUUGUUGGUUCUCUUUAUUGGUUCCGAUUAGUAUCAUGUUAAUUGUAAUGUUGUUUUCCUAAUCUCUUGAACAAAAUAAAACAUGUUCUUUUCCUACAAUAAAUCUUUAUAAUGCUUUGGUAAAUGUUUUAGAAAUGUACAUAUAUAUAAGUUCUAAUUAACACUGCAGUUUGUUUUAUACCUAGCACUUCUCAAAUGAGAUAUCAAUGACAUUUCUAAAAGGAACAUGGAAAACAAUCACACUCAUCGACAAACAAGCUCAAAAAGGUAUAAAUGUCGCUUGAUAACAGCAAAGAGAGCAAGUUACAAAAAAUACUUAGGUGGCCAAUGGAUCAAAUUUUGCUGAGAACAUAUGUUAGAGGUAGGUGAUAAGUUAAUUUUUGAUCUAGAGAAGCCACCUAAAAAUAUGCACGUUCAAGUCGUUUCCAAAUAAAGAUUUGGUGUUCAUGAUCCGCACUUUCAACAUAUCACCUUAACUCUAAUCCUAUACUAGAUUAUCUUCACUCACCGAUGCUAUUUCUUUGCUUGAUUUCAUUUGAUGUAAAUAUGGCUAUCAAUCAUUUUUUGGUAACUCUAUAACAACAACACUCUUUUUUAUAAUUUUGGAUAAUAUGUAAAUUCACACAUCAUUGGUUCCUUUAUUGGUUCCAAUUGUUUUCAUCCUAAAUAUUAUAUUAAUUCCUAAUCUCAUAAACUGAUUAUAUGCUCUCUUAAUCAGUCUAUACAUAUUUUAUGAUGAAUCACAAUGUUCCAUCGUUUUACCAUCUCUUCUUUCGAAGAUUUUUUUUAUCGAAUACGUUACUGAACAUGUGUGAAGCACGAGUUUGUAACUAGUUUGACUAAGGAAAUAAGUAGUUUUUGUCUUUUCCUAUUAAAUUUGACCCUUUUCUUAACUGUGUUAUAAAUUCAAAAUUUAAAUAUUCUAAGUGUAGUUCGGUAGUUAAUUUCAUAGACAUUGGUUUGUAGGGGCCUAAAUUCGAACCUACAGAUUCCCUAAUUUGCACUUAUUAUGUGAGUCUCAACACAAGGCUACCUGACAAAAAAUUUCAACAAUUAAUGAUAAGAUAAUGUUUAUCCUUUUAUUAUGAAUAUAAGUAGAUUGUCCUAUAAGAUUAAAAGUCUUUUUGAUGUGCCUUGUACUUGACCUAUUACUGUUAAGUUUCUUUAUUUAAAUAAAAAGAUUAUUUUUUAUCUACGCAUUACGUAACUUUGGUCGUAAGUCUCUAUCAACAUAUUUGACUUAUUUUAAUCGUUACGUAAGGUUACCAUGUCAUAUGUCAUGUUUAUCGGUUAUUUGACACCUUCAAGACAAUAUUUUUAAUUGAAUUGCUUUGUUUGACUCAAUAAAAAAAAUCAGUUUUUGUCUUUUCCUAUUAAAUUUGACUUUUUUUUGACUGGGUCCCAAACUCAAAAUUUAAAAAUUCUAAGGGGAGUUUGGUAGUCAAUUUCAUGGACAUUUGGUUUGAAGGGCCCUGAAUUUGACCUUUCCAAAUUCAUACUUUUUUUUCUUUAUGUUUUGAGUCCUAACACUAGGCUUUUUGACAAAAAAAAUCAACCAUUAAUGAUAAUAUAAUGUUUAUCCUUUUCUUAUGAAUAAAAGUAGAUUGUCCUAAUAAAAUUAAAGUCUUUCUGAAGUACCUAGUACUUCACCUAUUGACUGUUAAGUUUCUUUAUUUAAAUAAGAAGAUUUGGUUUGACCUACGCUUGACGUAACUUUGGUCGUAAGUCUCUAUCAACACAUUUGACUUAUUUUAACGGUUACGUAAGCUUACCGUGUCAUAUGUCAUCUUUAUCGUUGAUUUGACACCUCACAGACAAUAUUUUUAAUGAACUGCUUUGUUUGACUAAAAAAUAAGCAGUUUUUGUCUUUUCCUAUUAAAUUUGACAUUUUCAUGACUAUGUUCUAAAUUCAAAAUUUAAAUAUUUCAUAGUGUAGUUGGGUCGUUAAUUUGAUGGACAUAAGUUUGUAGGGGCCUGAAUUCGAACCUUCAGAUUCUCUACUUCUUUGCACUUAUAAUGUGUGUCCAAACACUAGACUACUUGACAAAAAAGUUCAACAUUUAAUGUUAAGAUAAGGUUUAUCAUUUUAUUAUGAAUAUAAGUAGAUUGUCCUGAUAAGAUUAAAAGUAUUUCUGAUGCACCUUGUACUUGACUGUUAAGUUUUUUUAUUUAAACAAAAAAAUUGGUUUGACCUAUGCAUUACGUAACUUUGGUCGUAAGUCUCUAUCAACAUAUUUGACUUAUUUUCACCGUUACGUAAGGUUAUCGUGUCAUAUGUCAUCUUUAUCUUUGAUUUAACACCUAAUAGACAAUAUUCUUAAUGAAUUGUUUUGUUUGACAUAAUAAAAAUAAGCAGUUUUUGUCUUUUCCUAUUAAAUUUGACGUUUUGUUGACUGUGUUCUAAAUUCAAAAUUUAAAUAUUCAAGUGUAGUUCGGUAGUUAAUUUCAUGGACAUUGGUUUGUAGGGGCCUGAAUCUGAACCUAUAGAUUCCAUACUUCUCUGUACUUAUUAUACAAGUCUAAUAGACAAUAUUUUUAAUGAAUUGUUUUCUUUGACUCAAAGAUAAUAAAAAGCUUUUGUCUUUUCCUGUAAAAUUCGACAUUUUUUUUACUGUGUUAUAAAUUCAACAUAUAAAUCUUCUAAGUGUAGCUUGGUUGUUAAUUUCAUGGACAUUGGUAUGUCUGGGCUUGGAUUUGAACUCCCAAAUUCCUCAUUUUCUUAUACUUAUAAUGUUCGUCUAAACACUAGUCUACUUGACAAAAAAGUUCAAUAUUUAAUGAUAAGGCAAUGUUUAUCCUUUUAUUAUGAAUAUAGUACUCCAUCUUUUCCAUAAUAAUAUAUUCUUUUUAAAAAUAAAUAAAUUAUUUUAAUAUUUAAAAUAUUAUUUUAAUAAUUAAAAUAUUAUUGAAAUUACUUUAAUAUUUUUCAUCAAAUCUUAAUUUAAUAUAAUAUUUUAAUAAUUAAAUAUUUAUUAAUUAAUAAUUAAAAUAUUUUCCAUCACAUUAAAAACAAUCAUUCAAACGAGCACGUCUGUCUACUAUUUUUACUGUGCUUACACGUGUAAAUUAUAAACAAUGUUUAUAUUAAAUUUUGAUUAUGAUUGAUAUGCUUAAAAUGCUAAAAAAUAUUAUAGUAAAUUUUAUAAUUUAAUUUAAAUUACCAAAUUAAUAAUAACGCUAAUACAAAAAUAUUUUUUUAUGUGUAAAUAGAUUGUCCUGAUAAAACUAAAAGUCUUUUUCUGGUGCGUCUAGUGCUUGACCUAUUGACUGAUAAGCUUCUUUAUUUAAAUAAAUAUAUUGGUUUGGCCUACGCGUGAAGUAAUUUUGGUAUUCAGUCUCUAUCAACAUAUUUAACUUAUUUUAACUGUUACGUAAGGUUACCGUGUCAUAUGUCAUGUUUAUUGUUGAUCUGACACCUCAUUGACAAUAUUUUUAAUGAUUUGUUUUCUUUGAUUAAAAAAUAAUAAGCAUCUUUUGUAUUUUCCUAUUAAAUUCGACAUUUUCUUGACUGUGUUCUAAAUUCAAAAUUAAAUCUUCUAAGUGUUGUCCGGUUGUUAAUUUCACAGACAUUGGUAUGUAGGGGUUUGAAUUUGAAUCUACGGAUUCCCCACUUCUUUGUACUUAUAACGUGAGUAUAAACACUAGACUACUUGACAAAAAAGUUCAACAUUUAAUAAUAAGAUAAUGUUUAUCCUUUUAUUAUGAACAUAGUACUCCCUCUUUUCCAUAAUAAUAUAUUAUUUUCAUAAUUAAAAUAUUACUUUAAUAAUAAAAUAUUAUAUUAAUAAUAAAAAGUAUUUUAUUGAAAGCACUUUAAUAUUUUUCAUCAAAUAUUCUAUAAACUAAUAUUUAUUAAACAAAAAAUUGAUAGCAUCAUGAAUAUUAUUUGUCUAAAAGAAUGUUAUAUUGUUGGUGUCAUUAAAAAGAACAAAAAUUUAUAUCAUCUUUGCUAUAAUAUUUAUUUCUUAAAAAAAGUAAGUAUAAUUCCUUAUAAGACGAAUGUGCAAAAUAUUAGCCAUAUACUUUUAAUCAAAAUCAAAAUUUCUUGAAAGUUAUUGUUAGUAAUUUAUACACAUUAAUUUGAUAAAAAAAUUGAAGCUUCUCUCAGAAAAAUUGAAUAUAAUAAACUCAUAAUUUUUUUUAAGAGAGGAUGGCAAAUGCCAAAUAUUAUUUUAUUAAAAUAUAUUUCUUCUUUUUGACUUGAAUUGGAUAUGAGUAAAUAGAAAUUAACUUUUAUGAUUAAAAUUAUUUUAAUUAUUUUUGUCUAGAAAGAGUUAAUUUUUGACUGGAAAGAGUAGUAAAUAAAUAUUAUUUUAUUAAAAUACAUUUUCUUCUUUUUGACUAAAAUUAAAUAUCAAUAAAUAAUCAUAAAUUUUCCCUUUGACAAAAUACAUUUGAGAGUACUAUAUAAUCCAAGUGAAUGAGUCUUAUUUUUCCACAACACAAGAACCAGUGUCUCUUGAAACUGUACUUUUGGUGACUUUUGCCAAAGACUUCAGUUUUUUUUUUGACUCUGUGUGUGUAUCUGAGUAAGUACUGAGAAACGGUGUGGUGUGUGACAGUAAAAAAGCUGAUAUUUUCUGCAUCUAAGGUAUUCCUUUCUUCCUUCUUCAUUUCAUUUCUUUUCUCUUUCUCUUUCUUUUCCAAAACAAAUGAAAAACUCUUUUUUUCUACUCUCUACACCCUACUCUAUAACUAGCUUACUUUUUAUACGUAAAAAUAAUAAAAUAUAGUAAUUUUUAUUAUUGCAUUGAUUUGAAAUUAAGGCUUGUUGGUGUUGGUGGUUGAAUUUGUGUCUUUGUUCUAUUACAUGCACAUGUGCUGAAUUAUUUGGUUUAUGUUACCUUAAUUCAGGUUCUUCAAGACAUACUCAUCAUCAUCAUUGCUUGAAGAUUUGGACUGGUAAAUUACUAAAUCUUUGUUCUUUUUGUGUUAGUGAUUAAUUUUUUUAUUUUUUUUGGAAAUUGAGAUAAAUUGAAAAAAAAAAAAAAAGGAAAUUUCGAUCUGGGUAAUUUUUCUUUUUUCUAGAUUUGUUAUCCUUUAACUGAGAGUUAUUUUUUAUUUUUUGCAAAAAAGAUAAAGUUUUUUCCAUUUAUGUGUUUUUAACCUUAUUUAGAUUGUGUUAAAAAUGUAAAGCUGCAAAAAUAUCAUUGUAUUAUAAUUGCUGUGUUUAAUUUGAUGCUUAGAUAGAUUGCAGUAUCCUCAGAAAUUAAAUAUUCUAAAAGAUUGUGUAAUUUGAACUAGUAAUUUUCAUGCCUUUGAGUUUAAUUUUUCAGGAAUUCAUUAAAUUUCAAGAAUUUUGUAUAUUGUGUUGUUAUAAUUUUAGCUAUUCAGUCUUAUCUUUAUGAGGGAUUUGAUUAGUUGAUGAAUUCUUUAAAUGUGAAGAAUUUUUGUGUAAUGUGUUGUUUGAAUUAUUCAUUCUUGUGUACUUGAGAAUUUAAUUUCUCAGUAAUAUACUUUAAAUGUGAAAUUUUUUGUAUUCAGUUAUUGAUUCCCAGCCACUAACCAAUGUUGCAAAAUCUUGUUUUUUUGCAGGAAAAUGGCAGUAUCAUCUGAUAUUCGUGCUUGGGACGAGUUGAUCCCUGAUACCUUGGGGCUGAUUUUCACGAAACUUUCGCUCUGUGAAAGAUUCACCGUGAUCCCAAGGGUCUGCAAAUCAUGGGCCAGUGCUGUAAAUGGUCCUUACUGUUGGCAAGAGAUAGACAUAACUGACUGGUGCAGCUACUCUGAGCCUCCACAAGUUGAGCGGAUGGUUCAGAUGCUGAUUACUAGAAGUUCUGGAUCGCUCCGGAAACUCAGCGUUUCUGGUAUCCAGACUGAGAGGGUUUUCACAUUCAUUGCUGAUAAGUAAGCAUCAUCCUUUGUUUUCUAUGUUUGGUUUCAUAAUUUCAUUGGAGAUACAAUUGAGAGUCUGAAUUGCCGUUUGCCUCCAAACCUAGAUUUGAUUAGAAGUAAUAAAAUGUAGCUUUUUGGUACGAACAGUCUUCAAUUUUGUGCAAUCUUCUAAUUUCAUUGAUGUAGUGCUUAUCUCGCAUUCAAUUAUACUGCUAUAGCAUUUUGAGUGUCUCACACUAUAUGCCAUUGACUACUAGAAAUCCGAACUUCUUGUUAACUAAGUUUGUUGUUCAUUAACUCGAUGUUUGACAGAAUUUGCCAUAUUUUACUUAUGUUGUAUUUUUUUCUUUCUCUUUUGCAAGUGCGGGCUCGCUACAAAACUUACGCCUUCAAAGAUGCAACAUCAACACUUUUGCUGUUGAACAAAUGACCGGAAAGCUUUCUAAGAUUUCAAUCUUAGAUUUGAGCUACUGUCUCAAAAUCUGUAGCAGUGAUAUAGAGACCAUUGGGAAGAACUUGAAACAUCUGGAAGUUUUCUGCCGGAAUAUGCAUCCGGUAGAAACUUCGGGAAAACCAUCAGAAGAUGCAGAAGCACUCGCGAUUGCCUCUACAAUGCCAAAGCUCAAGCGUCUCGAAAUGGCUUACAAUCUCGUCACCAGUGAAGGUGUUUAUAAAAUCCUCUCGUCAUGUCCUAAGCUAGAAAUUUUGGAUUUGAGGGGCUGUUGGGGUGUCAAACUUGACACCGUGUCUGUGCAGCAAAAGUUUCCGAAACUUGCGGUUUUGGGGCCUCAAGUUAUUGGAUAUUACGAGAUGUUGGAAGAUUGCUCGGAUAUCUCGGAUUCUUCUGACUCCGAAUAUGAUGACAGCGACAUGGACGAGUAUGACUAUGAUGAUGACAGCGAUGAUGGCAUUUGGUAUCAUCUAGGAGGGAUUGAAGAGCUAGAGUUCAGGGCUUAUGCAGGAGGUGUCGAAGAUGCUGCAAUGUAUUGGCCUCCAUCCCCAUGAACUGUGUUCUUGUUUCCCUCAGAACUAUGUUUGGUUUUAUGUUUUCUGUAAUUAGUGCUUCUUUGCUUUGGACUUUCUUUAUGCUCCUUGCAUAAAAUGUAUCAAAGAAAAUGAAGCAUUUGGGCUUCUUGUAAGAACUUAAGAUGCUUAUACAUCUUAAGAUAUUUGAAAGUUUCUUAGGUUCUUAUUUUGAUGGAAUAAAGAUAAGUUUGUAUCAUAGGAAAUAAAGAUAUUUUUUUCAAGCCAUCAUAAAAUGAUCUUUGACCUCUGGUUGGGAUAAUGCAUAAUAAUAAUAAUUAAUAAUAAUAAUAAUAAUUAUUAUUAUUAUUAUUAUUAUUAUUAUAAUAAUGUAUUUCCUAUAUAGUAUUAUUUUUUUGAUGGUGUUAUUUCCUAUAUAGUCUAACAAGUAACAAACCUAUCUUAAAUUCAUCCAAAUUACAAAUAUCGUCCACAUACAGAAUUUAAUAAAGGAAUUUAUCGAAGAAAAAAAAUAUAUAUAUAUUUUUUAAUUAACAAGCAAAUGUCUAUAGCACUCUUGGCAAGACCAAUAAAUUUAUGUGAGAUUGAUGGACAAAGUAAAGACAGCUAUAAAUUAAAACAAGUUAAUGUGGAAGACUAUGAUUUCCCAGGUUAGGUAGAAGAGAGCAUAGAGUGGACAGAACAAAGGUGUAAAGCUUAUUAGUUUCACAACAAUCAAUCAACACAAUGAAUUUGCAGGAUUCAAUAUGUUGAUUUUUUGAACCGUCAUAAUAUUCCUAAAGGCUUAAAGCCCUUUAGAAAGACUCUAAGCCCUUUAAAAUGGCUUAGGUGCCCUCCAGAAGGACUCCUGAGGCCUGGGCGCACCCUCCGUAGGGCGCCGCCUAUCUUAGCUUCUAGAAACCUCUGAAAACCGCCUAAAAUACACAAAUACCCCUGUUGCUUGGGGAUCAAGCAACCGAAACCUAAGUCCAUAGCAGACUAUAAAUACCACCCUUGAGAGCAUUCUCAAGGCAUCUAAUAAUCAGUCUAAAAACCUAGUAUACGAUUUUUAACCUUAGAAUCCCUUAUUGUACUUUUUGCAAGUACACUUUUGAAUUUUUUUUGUGUCCUAGUGGAUUUUAUAUUUUAUAUGUAGGAUAUAAAAUCGAUAAUUUCCAUUGUACCAAUAUUAUUAUUUUUUUGUUGAUAAUUUCCAUCACUAUUUGAGCUAAGCAACUACGGUUGAACAUAGAGUAACUAAGUCUAUAGAGGUACUUUUGUUUGUUAGUAUCAUUGAGAUAAUGGACUUAAAACAAAAAAGUACCAUUGAGAUAAUGUUCACAAAGGACUUGAGUACUUAUUUUGCCUUAUGCCUAAUGUAGAUGUACUUGUUGAAUAACGCCAACGUAGAUGCUUUAAGCUUUAACAUUGUAUGAAUAUGUUCUUAAUAUUUUGGUUCCUCUUGCCUUCCAAUCAAAAGGUCCCGUUAAUUAGGCGUCAAAAUCACAGAGUCACCAUAGUUUUAUAAAAUUACGAUGAUUUACUGAGAUUCUGAGAAACCUAUCGUAAGAUCAAACAUGCAUUUUUUUUUUAAUCGGCAAAAUAUUAUUCAAUAAAGCAACACUCAUGCAAAAAAAGUCCUGCAUAUAUACGACAACCUUCCCAACACCAAAAGCAAAAACAGUAAAAAUACUAAACAAUGGCUAAAGGCCAAACAUGCAUUUCAUCUGAUUUUUCCCUCCCAUUUCUUUCCUUAUGUAUUUCAUUCAACCAAAAGUGUGAUGUUCAAUCUCCACUAAUAAAACAAGAGAGUAUUAGAUUUCGUUCAAUCUUCACUUAAUGCAUUUCAUCCUAUCGAUUACGUUGGAUUCAUCUUCAUGUUGUUAGAUUUUUCCUUCUGUCUUUGUUUUUACAACGUGUAACUAAUUUGCUUGAGUUAGGUUGGAUAUCUUGAUGCGUUAUAAUUUUUUGAUUAGAUCUAACUUCAAUUUCAUUCUAAUUCAUAUAUUACAUCUCCUUUUCAUACUAUUUUUUGAUGAAAUGUCAAAGAAAGGAUUAUAGAUUUGAAAUUUUAUUUAUAAAAAAUUAAAAAAAAAGAACAAAAUCACAUGCCUUUAUAUGGAUUCUAUAUUUUUAAUGUAAUUGUCUCGAUUUUCUUUACCUGAGGAGCUUCAUUGAAGUAAAAUUUUUGAGGCUUGAAAUUACUAAGAACCUAUCCUAAUUAACUCAGAAUAUAUCGGGCGAAAUCUAAUACUACUAGAUUUGUCUUAAAUCGUUAUUUAUCACUUUUUUUUUUUGAAGGAAUUUAUUUAUCACUUUUAAAAGCCAAUGCAUUGUUUGAGACAGUGUUAAUUAUUUUUGCUGAUUAUUUUUUAUUAAAUUUAUCCAGGAAUAAAGUCAAUGGAACGUGUUGUUUUCAAAGGUUGGAGUAACUUCAUGGUCAGAUUUUCAGAUUCCAUAACUUUAGAGAAUGCCAAUUGAGGAGCUAUGUCUGAAAAAACUUGGUGCUUAAUCUUUUAUUUUUAUCAAUUAGCUCACAACAAAUGAUUAAUGCAAUAUAUUUUUUUUUUUGACUAAUCUCUAGCAAAUUAGCAAUAUAUCUCAGGAGAAGAUGAAGAUUUGUAUUGAAUGAAAACAAAAUCUUCACAUCUAUUUUGAACUGAUUUGUUUUCAGGAAAUUUAACAAACCAUGUGGUUUCCUGUUCCCUAAUAUUUGGAUAGUUACAGUGAAAUCAUAGGCAUUUGUUUGUGUAUAGAAAUAUAAUAUUUUUUUAGUAGUGUAUAGAUUAAUUUUUAUUUUUUUUUAAGUUAAAUUAGUCCACUUAAUUGUGAAUCAAACUUUAAACCUUAGGGAGAAACACACUCUAAUAUCUCAAGAAAAAUAAUUAUCUUUUAUGUAAAGGAAAUUAUCUCCAAUAAUGUAUUACACACAUUAUGAGAAAUUAAUACUGGAUCUUAAAAUAAAAAGUAAAAUAAAUUCGAAAUUGAAAAUUAAACAUCACCAGGAUUAUGUGAAUGAACCAAGUAGUCAAUAGUGUAACAAUUUUGAUCCGAGUAAAUACCCAAAUUCAUCCUUGAAUUUGCAAGGACCGGCCAAAUUUGUACCACAAUUUUUCAAAAUAUCAAAUUAGUUCCUGAAUUUAACAGACGUCCAUCAAAUUCAUCCCUCCGUUCAAUCCCCCCGUUAGUGAGGUUGACGUGUCAUCCUGCAUGAUGUGCUUUGAUGUCCACGUGUCAUUUAGUCAGCCACGUGUAUAAGGACCAAUUUGAUGGAAACGUUACAAAUUUCAGUUUUAACUUUUCACUUUCAAUUUUUUCUGUUUUUUUCUCUUUUACCCCUCUUUUAAGGAUAGAUUUGAUAGUAAUUGUAAUAAUCCAGGGAUUGAUUUGAUCGAUUUCAUUGCAGGGAGUGAGUACAAAGAGGUAUGGCAUGAGAGGACUAGUUAUUUCAAUUGAGAAGUCUACGCAAACACUAGUGAGGGGUCCUGCUCCACCACAUCCAACUACUCCUAGAGCUAUUAAAAUGUCAUAUCCAAGUUAUAGGCCAUCUAGUUCUACUCAUCCCUAAUUCAUGGAGUUUAUCCCAACCCCAAGAUUUUCAAAGAAGUGAUGUUUGAUGCCUGAUUAAAUUAUGCUUUUGGAAAAUGUAAUAUUUAGACUUGUUUAAAUUAUGCCCCCUAGUUGGGUUUCUUUUUGGAUAUGUAAUAUUUAAGAACAAUGGAAUGUAUGACUUAUGACUUGUUAAUGUCCCAUGGUUGGGUUUCUUUUUGCCUAUGUAAUAUUCCUGCACUUGUAGUGUAACGACUAAAAUACAACUUAUUUGAUGGAAUGUACUACUUAUGACUUGUUAAUGACUCAUAGUUGGGUUGCUUUUUGCCUAUGUAAUGUUCUUGCACUUGUAGUGCAGUGACCGAACUAUGACUUAUUUGAUGGUAUAAUCAAGGAUCAAAUUAUGUCUUUUUACUUUUUUACUUUAUUCUGCACAUAUUUGCACCAAGGAUCACAUUGACAUCUGUUUAAAUAAUUCAAUGAUUUAUUUGAUGGUAUUUUUAUAUAAUGUAGGGAUCAAUUUGAUACUUGGGCAAAUAAUUUAGGGACUAAUUUGAUAGAAAUAUUUUGACAGAAAGGUUGCAUUCAUUCAUCUUCAACCUCUUUAAUUUUCAUUACAACAAUACACAUACCUAGUACAAUACACCAACAUUCAAGUACUCUCACAUCACCAUUAAAAAUAGAGCUUGAAGAUGAAGACCGACUAUUAUAGUUAUUUUUGCACAUACGCCCACCACCCAUCAUUUCUGAAUACCAAAGCUUGAACAAUUUUUGGGGAUUUUUGGAUUUCAAAUUCAAACAAAAAAAUUAGGUUUUGAAGUUUUUUGAAUUGGGGAAGAACGUUGUCAUCAAUUAAUGGAAGAAAUUUUAGAGAUUUUGAACUCUCAGUGACAAAUUAUAAAAUUAGGGUUCCAAUGUUAUGGAUUUGGGGAAGAAAGAGACGUUGGGUAACAAUUAUUUUUCUGCAAAAGUGAGUUCGAAUUUUCUAUAAAUCAAUCAAUUUGGUCCUUGGAAAUUUUGUCAUUUUAAGCCAAAUUAGUCCAUGUUUGUGUGGCAUCUGACAUGGCAAGCCUUGUGAGAGGUUAACAGUACACGUCACCUCCAUUAACAUGCCAACUUAACGGAGGGACCGAUUUGAUUGACAUUUGGUAAAUUCAGGGAUAAAAUAGAUAUUUUGAAAAAUUUGAGGACGAAUUUGGCUUGUCCUUGCAAAUUCAAGGACGAACUUGGGUAUUUACUCAUUUUAAUCCAUAUUAAUUAGAAUGUUUUACACAACUGUGUCUUGUCUCAACUAGUAAAAUGUUGAAAUUGCUAGAUUGAAUGUUGUAAUUGUGGUUCAAAUCAUGCUCUUUACUUAUGCGUAUGUGUUUCAAUAGUUGUUUGACAUUUCAUCCGUCUACAAAAAAAUAAUGCUUGGGCUAUGAAGGGUAGCGCAUUGGGUUGAAAUAUGACGUUAGAUUAAGAGCAAUCAUAUAAGUAAAAUUGAACAUCAUAUGAUUUGAUUUGGGAAAAAAAUAUGUUACACUUAAAACAAUGAAGAAUGGACGUUGAUCACCAAAACGUAUCUUUCCGCGCUAACCUUCUAACAUUUUGAUAAAAAAAUUAGGAUUUAUUCCAUUCAGAUUGUAACAAAAAUUGUUUCAUCAUUAAUUCAUGUAAUCAUAAUCUCUUUCUCGUAUUUUUAUCCACAUUAUGCGUCAGCCAGAAGAAGGAAAAUAGAGACAAAAAAGUAACAGAGAAACUACUACUCCCUGAGGUUUUAUUUGACUAAAAAAUACUCCCAUAGUUGUUUCUGACAAAACUUAUUGAAUCAAGUUAAAAUCAUUAUUAACUUAUCAUUAGUUAUUUAAUGAAGGGAGAUAUAAACUCAUUUGAGUUGGACUAAUAGUGUUGGCUUAAUACUUUAAAGUGUCUUACUCUUAAAAUAUCAUAUUUGAUUCUCUGUUGUGUUAACAUUGGUGGAUUAGUUUAAUUUUUUUGUCGAGUAGUCUAGUGACUAGAAUUCACUUUAUAAGGUGUCUAGUGACUAGAAUUUACUUACCUCUGCAGGCUUUCCAUCACCGAUUCACAACCACCAUCACUGAUCAAUCAUCAACUGAUUCACAUCAUCAGGCUUUCCUUCAUCUUCUUCCUUCUUCACCAAAUCAUCACUGAUUCUCAACUCUCAAGAUUUCAAUCAGUUUUCCCCUUUCCAAAACAACACAGUUUGAUAAGUAAAUAAACUCUCUUUCAUUAAUUUGAAUGUUGAAAUUGCUAAAAUAGAGAUUGAUAGAGAUUUGUUGAAUGUUGAAAACAACACUGUUUCAAAUUACAAUCGGUUUUCCCCUUUUCAAAACAACACUGUUUGUUGAAUGUUAAAAUUGCUCAAAUAGAGAUUGAUAGAGAUUUGGUUGAUUAUUAACUGAAUUAGUAAUAAUUGAUUUCUGCAUAUUUACUGUUUUGGGAGUUUUUUUUAAAAUUAUUCAAAUUUCAGUGUAUAAUUGAAUUUAUAUAUCAUAUAUGUUGCUAAUUACUAAUUAUGUUUUAAUUUUAUUUUAUGGUUCAAUCUCAACAUUGUAUGUCUAAUGAUGUUGUGCUGCCAGCUCUAUCCGCGCAUGACUUUUGGUGGUUUUGUGCAGGUUUCAUUUUCUGUCCUCUUGUUUUAGCCUUUUAGGAUUAUUGGAAUUAGUUCCUCUAUAUUUUGGUGUUAGGUGGGGGUUCCUCAUGUAUACAGUAGUCAUUUUCACCUUUAGGUGUACCGCAUAUAUACGGCACCUUGUAUUUAUCUUUUAAAAAAUAUAAAUAGAACAUUGCUCUUUUAAAAAAAAAAUACGUUUUGAUUUUAUCACUGGCCUCUUUUCAUUCUCAGAGCCGAGCCUCCGAAUUCUCAGGGACGGCCCUGAUGUUAAGCAAACAUAUUUUUUUAAAUACCUUAGAAUAAAAUUUCCAUCUUUAUGUUCAAAUGAAUGCUAUUCCUUCAACUAAAUUUGGUAAACCGGAAAGAAACACACCCAUAUUAUAAUUAUAAAAUGGUUACGAGGGUCGCCCUAUUUAUAAUAAUUUCCUUUUUUCCAUAUUUUAAAUUAAACUAAUUUUCCUUCAAAAAAAAUUAAACUAAUUUAACUUUUGGCUCCUAAAAAAUUGAUUUAAUUUUGUAUUUAUUAGCAUACAUGUGGACAUUGCACGUGGGCGAUACUUGUAAUUGACAAUUUAUGAUCCAUUAUUAGCAUACAUGAUAGAUUUUCAAAGUGUUUUUUUUAAGCGAAACAUGUGUUACUUAAAAAAAAAAACGAGGACUCCCUUUUAUGUGUGCACUUAAAUGUUGUCGUCAAAUCUUUAUGAUCAUUUACUUCAAAAAAAAAAAAAAAAUUGUGGUGGCCGGAAUUUUAACCUCAGAUCUUAGAUAUAUUAUGCAUUGUUUAUACCAACUGAUUUUAAGUUCACGAUGACAAAUUUACUUCAAUUUUGAUCACUCUCAAAGAUUUUUUCAACUCAAAAUUUGUGAUGUAAUACAUUUUAAAUGAUGUAUCAUCCGAGUUAGUGAUGUAAAAUGACUAACACUCAUGAAAUUACAAGAAAAUAAAAAAAAAAUCUUAAAUUUAAGUUCAAAAGAUUUUUUUUUAAGGAAAGUUCAAAAGAUUUUUAUUUAUUUAAUUGAAUUGGUGAAAUGUAAAUAACUAACCGAGAUAGAUGAUUUUACAUCAUUAAAUUGUAUAUUACUUCAUUUAAAAUAUGUUUCAUUGUUAUUUUUAAGUCCAAAAAUUAAACAUAAGGAUGGAAUCAAAGUUGAGUGAUUUUAAAAUGGCAGGAUCAAUUUCAUAAAUGAAUGAAAAUAUGAGAAUUAAAAGUGCAAUUAAACCUUAUUUUUUUAAUUAUCUUAUUAAUACACAUCUUUUAUAUUAUGAUUUUAUCAUUUAUGAAACUACCAAAUUAUCAUGUUGAGUUCAAUUAUCUUGAGUUCAACAAAAUCACACGACUGAUUAAUGGACCUGAAUUUGAUGUUGUAGCAAAUUUAAAUAGUUUGUUGCAGUAGCAAACCUUGAUCAUCAAUCUACGAUCUGAAAAUUCCAAAUUCACUGCAUGGAUUUCAACAAUUUAUAGUGUCAGAUCUUGAGUUAGCUUUAGCUACUAGUUAGAAGGAAUAAUUGGAGUCUUGAGCAUACUAGUUAACUACUCUACACAUUGAGCAUAGCAUGAACUGAAGUGAUGAGUACAUUGAGUUAUUCAUUUAAGUAACAAAAACAUAACGUAUAUAAUUUCUAGUAACUCAAGUUAAGAAUUUAAGUUAGUAAACUACAACAAAUACAUCUCAAAUUGAAAAUUUAACAAGCAUCAUAACAUUCGAUACCUACUAUUAACCCACAUCAAAACGUGACUUUUCUUAACAAUUUAUGCUUAAACAUUGUUCUAUAAAACUAUACAAACUCAGCCAAGUGAUACAUUUUUCUAAUCAUUACUUUCUAUAUGCAAGGCAGCUUCUGACUAUAACUACAUAAUCUUAUUAAGCAUUAAAAUUAUAAUCUAUGAACAUAGCUUCAUUCAAGUGUCAACUAUAUUUCUCAGUAACAUUUACAACAUGAUGUACAGACUUCCAUUACAGAUUUGAGUAAACAUUACAAAUGUAGAAAGUCCAAACUUAUAAACUACUCCAUCCGGUUCUAUUUAAAAGAAGUAUUUAGGUUAGUAAAAGAUGAUUUAUUUGAUUAAAAAUUUAGAUUAAAUACAUCAACUUUUGUUGACCUAAAUGUCUCUUGUAAAUAGGAUCGGAAAGAGUAGUUAUUUUGUAAGAUUUUCUUUGCUUUAUAAAUCCCUUAAUCAAUUUUGUAAAAUCAAUUUUGUAAGAUUUUCUUUGCUUUACAAAUCUCUACUAAGUAGUUUAUGCUAAUAAAAUCAACAGGAAUGGAUGAUUCUAUCUUGUAGUAACAUUUCAUUUUUCUACUAUGAUCAUUCUCACUACACAAUUGAUUAAUUAAGUCUAAUGUUUUGUUGGUGGAUGAAUAUUGUAGGGCCUAUUUUUAUAUUUGAUAUUGUAUUUAAAUUUAUUAUAUCAUAGGGAGGGUCCAUUUAUCAUGUACUGUAAAAAAUUUAUAUUAAAUAAUUAAUAAUUAUUUUUUUGUAAAAAAAGAAGAAGCAAUAUUGUAUUAAUUUGCUUACACUAAUAAAAUAUUUUAAAAAAAAUGUUAUAAAAAUGAUUUUCUAAAGAAAGUACUCAAAGCAGAUUAUCAUUUUAAUCUAUUUUUAGUUUUUUCCAAUUUCUCAAUAAAAAAAAUUAAUAAAACUUCUAAGUAUGAUUAUUUUAUUUCAAAAAAUAAACUUGUUUGCCAUAAAAUAUUUAACAAUCGGGCCAUAACAUCUAUCUAUCGUGCACUUUAUUCAGGGCUCGCCCAAGGCAUAGGUCGGGGGUGAGGCGGCCUAGGUCCAAUUUUCUUUUACGGAUGGGGGUGUAUAUAGUAAUACUGGGUUUAAAGAUGGUAUAAAUAUCAGUAACCGCAAAAACAUUUACCAGACUUAAGUCCAUCAGUCAUUUCACUCUUUUUUUACAACCCAGCAGCAUUUCAUUUUCACACCCCCAACUUAGCAUUUUCAACCUCAGCAUUUCAUUAGUCAAAUUGCAAAAUUUAGAAGCAACGCGUAAAAUACAAAAUAUCUACUACUUCCUAGAGACCAAGUUUGUUUUUUAUUUCGAGAUAUUUUUUGGUGUUUCAGAUUGAAUUUAACAUGAAUUUAUAUUUAUAUUUCAUUUUAUAAUAUGAGUUUCAAUAUGAAAGUUUCAUGUUUAGGACAUCGAAUUUGAUAAGUAACAUAUAAUUUUCUAUUGAUAAAUGAUAAAAGGUUUUCAUAUUACUGGAAUGAUAAUGAAGUUCUUUGAGAAAUUUUAAAGGUAAUAAAUCAAUAGAAUUAUCAAAUCAGAUAAUGAAACUUGUAUAAAAUUUAGUAUGUCUACUAUCGUUUUACUUAGCUUUGUUGCCUUUGGUUCGGCUGGCUCAAUUUUUUUUUGUUAUUCUUUUUUAUUAAUAAUAUAUAGGAUGAGAUGCAUUUGAUACAAGAUAUUUUGAAGUGUCAGCAUAGUUUGAAUUGUAAAACAUGUAUUAUAGGAACCAUCUUGAUUAAUGCAUAUCUCAUAUAAAAAAAUAAAAAUAAAAAUCUAUUAUAUACGGGGAUCAUUUUCUUAAACCUGGCUUAAGGCUCAUGAAAUGUUAGAAAUGGGUCUGACUUUAUUCAAAUAAACUCCACGUAUUACUUUCUUACAUAUAUAAAUGGAUUUAAUUUGUAUACACACUUCUUAAAUAUCAAUCAUGUACUUCAAAAUGGAUUAAAUUAAAAUAUAGUUUAAUUAAUUAUUUUAAUAAAUGAAAUAUUUAUUAUAAAGUAAUAAUUAUUGAAUAAAACAAUAAUGACAUGACUAUUAAAUUUAUCGACCUAGACGUUGUUAUAUGAUAUAUCAUCAAAAUUGAUCCCUAAGGGGAGAUCAAAACUCGGAAAAAAAAAAAAAAAAAAUUGAAAGUAGGGCAUCGAAAAAUAAAUUUUUAAAAUGAGUGAUAAAAGUUUAUUGUUUUGAAAAUAGGGGAAUAAAAGUACAUUUAAGUCUUUUUUUAGAUUUAUCUUAUAAAAUAUUUUUUAUUAAUAAAAAAUUUAGAUGAGUAAGGCUUCAAGGUCUUACCCGGAUAAGAUAAGUUUCAAGGUUCGACGAGAGCUAACAAAGGUACUUAUUUUGGACCGGUUAAAAGACCAAUCCUAUGUUGACACGUGGACUAUACUUACGUCGCCUUAAGGCUCAACGCUGAAGGAACACACCAACUUCCGUACACAAUGUUGCUUUCAAACACGCCUCCGCACGAGGAUCCCGCUAACGUGUCCUCUAACUGCUCUCUAAUCACACGCCGCAAAACCUGGAGACAGUUAUUCUCACGCGCGCCUAUGCAAGGGUGACUUAACUUCACCCUCAAGGUAUGAUUCACUUUUCACAACACUUUCUACACACUCUUUCACAGUUUCUUACUGACUUGAGUGUUGGAGUGCUAACGUGUCUGCAGACACAUUUCGUUCUACCGCGAAGACUCUUCGCCACUGUAAUAGAGCACAUUCCGCCACCGUUGUUUCUCAUCAAUCCUCACCGGACAGAUCAAUACUUAUAAAGUAUAUAUCAAAAAGAUUAUUAUGUUGAUAAUGAAAGGUUAAAUCAAUGACCUUGCGAGUGAGUCACUCUUUACCAACUGAGUCAACUGUGACAAUUUUUUUAUUUUGAAGGGUCAACAUUGAUUACUUGUUGGUUAUAAAAAUCAAAUAUAUAAUUAUUAGUAUUUAAAUAGAUAAAUAAUUGGAAGAAGAAAUAAACUAUUGUAAGUUCUAUAGGGACUACUAAUAAUUCAAAUAGAGAUAGGUGGGGGUAGGAGAAGCCGGAAGGAAGUGUGAGUGGGUUGGUGAAAUAAAAUGCUUAAGACAGUUGUACCCUGCAAUGGAAGUCUUCAACUUGAACAUAGUCAAUUCAAUUCAAUGCAAAACGUAACCGAAAACACAAUUCAAUAAUGCAAUUCCAUACACAUACCUUGUUGCAUUGCUUGCACGUGUGUUAACUUGGAACUUCAAGUUGAUGUGCUUUUUCCGUGUGGAAAAUUUUGAUUUUGACCAACUUUGUGAUAUUUUAUUUUACUUAUUAUAGGGGUAGGUAACUUGGUAUGGUCUUUCUAAUGUCGUCGAUAGGGGGCUAAUAUGCAAAUAACGAUAAUCAUAGGAAGGUUUGCAUGGAUAACCAUUAACCAAGUUGUUCGUCCCUCUAAAUAGUGAAAUAAAGGGGCUGUUAGGAAUAUAUAUUUUUUUAACAUUUACUCUUUUAUAAGAUGAGCGCUAUGUGGAUCAUACUACUUCAUGUGAAACUCACUUUUAAAAUACCAAACUUGCAUGAAUUUCACCCAAAAAAAAAAAUAAGUGUUGAAAAAGUAUUAUCUUUAGCACUCUUCAUAGCUUAAAUCAAAUGUAAUUGAUGAAAAAAUAGUUUUUAGGUUCAAAAGGGUUUUCAAGUUGAUAAUAUCCGCUCUAGGGGUAAGAUAUAAUAGUUGUUUGGGUUUGUUUCUUUCUUGCUCUUUUUAUUUUCUUUUGGUUUGUUUCACAUUUUUUCUUGUUUAUUCUCUUUUUGGGUUUGACAUUUCUCUUUGGUUUUGCUUCGUAUUUAUGAAUUGAGAAGGUUUUGGUUUGUACCAUUUCUUUCUUUGUUCUUAUGUACGUUAUUUUAUAUGUUUAAGGUGUUGUAGUUGGUUUAAAAAUCUUAUUCAAAUUUGUGACGUGACAAAAAAAAUUUGUUUGAUAUAUUUUUAAUAUAUUUUUUAUUUGUUGGAAAUGAUUGUUAGACCUCUGAUACCAACAUUGCUGGGAGGGAUGAAAGUCACCUAUGAAGAUUUUUUAUGCAUGAUAAUUUUGCUAUAAAAAAAAACUUAAAACAUGAUCAUAAAAUAAAAACAAGGACUGGGUUGACUUGCUCACUCACAGAAAAAAUAUAAAACUAAUGUGACAAAAUAUCAACAUAUCCACUUCCCCCUCUCAAAUAAAAAAAAAAAUCAACAUGGUCCACUUAUUUGCAUAACUAUAUCAACUUAUCUCAUCGAAAUUUACUUAUAAACCUAAUGUUACUAUUUUUAUCUGAAGCAUCAAAACAAAAUAGAUAAGAGGUACAUGAUUAAAAAAUAAAUAGCACAAACUAAAGACAAAAUAAAUUUGUUGAAGGAUUGUAAAUGGUGAAGUCAACAGAAACCAAAUUAAUUAAAUGUAGCAGACAACAACCAAUCUAUUCACCAAACUCUUUCACAACAAUCUAAAGCAAAACAAUUAGAUAUUUUGACAAUUGUCAAAGAUUAUGUCAAAAUUGACGAGGCUUGCUUUUAGUCUCAGAUUUAUCGGCUCAGCUGUGAUUAUAAGAUAUUUUAAAUAUAUUUGUUGUAUAAGAUCAUAAAUUUAUUCUUUGGAUAUAAAUUUAUUAAUAUACCAAUUGUUAAUAUUAAUACCUUUAAAAAAAGAAACAAUUAUUAUUAUUAGUUCAUUUUGGACUAUAAAAAGUGAAUAUUGAACACAGAUAGACAAUUUACUUUGAAACUCCGAUACUUUAAAAUGGAUGACGAAUUGUAUCAUGUACCGAUAUCUGCAUGAUACUUUCCGAUACGUAUCAAGAGAGUAUCCGGAAAUUAAAUUUUAUUUUUAAGAUACUUCCCAAUACGUAUCAGAAGAGUAUCUGAUAAUUAUCCUGAACCGAUAGCUCCCCCGAUAUUUGCCAAUUAAUGUUAACUAAAAUAACUUAACUCUUGAGUACUGAUGUGUUCUUUUUUGGAUAUAGUGCUUCUUUUUUGGAUCGAUAUAAUAUAGCACUAACAAUGUUCAUUUUGAAUAUAGUAUAGCACUCGUGGUGCUCUUUUUGGAUAUAUUGUGUAUGUAAUUGACUAAUUAUCACUUUCUUAAUCAUCAAUAUUAUUUAUAAUUAUUUAUGUUGAUGUGCUACGAGCCUAUUACUGGUUUCUUUUGUUUGUUAAUAUAUUUGCAUAUACAAAAAUGGUUAUAAUUAUAUUGUAUAUUUAAUUAUAUAAUUUUUUAUUAACGUAUCCCAGUCGUAUCGUAUCUUGAUUUUUGAAAUUUUUCCAUAUCGGUACCGUAUCGUAUCUCGUAUAUGGGCUUCACAGCUGAUAGUCAUAUACAGAUAAUAUGCAACCGUUCAAAAAAAAACAAAUGAAAAUAUAAUACACAAUAAUUAUACUUAUGUAACUUUAAUAUCUAUGCAUGAAAAGUGUCAAAUGAUCAUCGUGAGCUUAGUUCAGUUUGUAAGAACAAUGUAUAAUAUAUGCAAGGUCCAGGGUUCAAACCCCAGCCACCACAAAAAAAAAAAAAAGUCAAAUGAUCUGUAAUAAAUACAAAGGAAAAAUUACUUUAAGUAAAUUUUCAUUUUGCCUCUAAAGAAAAUUUUCAUAUUGAUCAAUUUUUAGUCUCUCGCAAAAAUAAAUUGAAAUAGGUCUUAUAAUUUAAAGGAAAUGGAAUAACUACAUUUUGUAAAUUUUAAUUUUCGUCAAUUUUUAGUCUCUCACAAAGAUAAUCUGAAAAUAUCAGUCUUAAGUGAAAAUUUAUGUCAAUUUUUUUAAGGCUAAAGUUACAUAGACACUCAUUUCAGCCAUACCACCCCAUACACACGCUUAGGUGGCAUUUGUUCUGAUUUUUUUUAUUUACUAAUCCAAAAUGAAUGAAAAGACCAACACACCCUUAGAUCUCACAGGAGAAAGAAACUCAAACAAAAAGCCAUCUCUGGUCAUUGUUCAUUGCCCCUAACCUGAAAACCCUAGCAGCGGAUUCAGUCUUUCUAUAACCAUCUUCGUCCACGGCCACUCUUGUCGUCUCUCCUCCCACUUUGUUGUCUCUCUCUCUCUCUCUCUCUCCCCCCUUAUCUCCCUCGUCAUCUAUCUCACCUUUGACUCCCGUAAUUUAAAACGAAUUUUUAUAGAUCUGGCGAAGCCAUGGCCAGUGGGAUCUCAGGUGGAACACACCAGAUUUGGAGAACCGCCACCUAAGAGAAUGACAGAGAGAUGCGAGAUUGACGACGAGUCCUAACAGUCAAACUUUGUUAAGAAUGGUAAGACAAUUGUUUCGGAAAAGAGGACAAUAUUUUCCAAUUGAGGAUGGUAGAGACAAGAAGGAAAAAGAAGGAUUAGAAUGAUGGUGAUGGUGUGCCCGUGGAGAGAGAGAGAGAGAUCAAAGGCAAAAAAUAAUUUUUCUUUUUCUUUUCUUACAUGGAAUAUGCAUAAUUUUUUAUUAUUAAUUUUGUCAUUAACGAGUGGUAGAAGACUGGUAAAGACACAAAAGGGUGUCCAUGUAUAAGAGCUCUUUUUUCCGCUUGCAUCCAAAGCUUUAAAAAAAAGUCACAUACUAAAAGUAAGUGAUUCACAUUUUCCACUUCACGCAACCUGCAACACACACAUUUAUACUAUGUUGAAGUAUUGCACGUUGAACUGAAUUAUCCUUUGUAGGGAUUUGGUUCUAAAGUAGCCGCCACGUAAAAAUAGAUACCCGAAACUAUUUUGUUCCAAAUUAUUACAUGUAAAUUAUGUUGAGUAUUUGGUUCCACAUUCCUCCAUCGUAACCAUCUUCACCCUAAUAAAAUUCAAUUAUUAAAACUCCGUGAGUUUUAUUUCGGGUAUGCGAAAAGUUUGAUAGAUGUAUACUUGUCUCAAAAGAGGAAUGUCUAUGGUUGAGUUUUAGUCUUUGUUAGAUUUCGUAACAUUAUAGAUGAUAAAAUUAAAAUUCAAUUAUUUAAUUAGGUGAAAAAAAUAAAAAGUAAAUAAAAAAGUUUAGAUGCAUGAUGAUAUUAGAAGAUAAAUGUUACACAAAAAUAUGAUAUUUUAUUUCCCCCUUAUCAUAUAAUAUGAUACUACAUUCAUUGUUUUCUAAAAACAUUAUUCAUUCCCCUAAAAAACUAUGUUCAUCGUACCCUCUUAGUACAUGUAUCAUCCAAUAUUUACUAAAUAGUUUAAUUAUUAUUUUUGACAGAAUUAAUAAUUUAAUUAUUAAUUGACAUUUUUAUUUGAAAAAGUUGUAUUAGAAUAAGUUGAAUAUAACAAAAAUGAAAGAAUACCAAUACAUAUGGCGUAGAAUAUAACAAAAGGAAAAAAAUACAUAAUUUAACAAAUGAAUGAAUUAUGUCAAAAAAGACAAAUGAAUGAAUCUUACUAAAAAAAAAAAAGAACAUGUAAAUCAAUUUGGCUUCGUUGCCACCUCCAAAUACCCUUUACAAAAAUACUCUUUCACCAAAUGAAAGGAUAUACGAUUUUUAAAAAGUUUAUGCUAAAGUACCUUACGCGUAGAUGUGAAAAUUGCCGUUUUAAAUUCGUGUUUGUUUCUUGUCAAAAAAAUUCGUGUUUGUUUAAUUCGUCAAUUGAUUACUGGUACGUUGAGUUAAAAAAUUAAUUUUUAACUCGUGUUUGUUUAAUUCGUCAAUUGAUUAAUUUUUUAAUUCAUCAAUUUUAGGCAUGGCAACAAAAUCCAUACCCGUGAUUAUCCACCCGAACCAAACUCAUUUUGACGGUUUCCCCGUUUUAACUAGGUUUGGGUAUGUGUUUAGGUUUUCCUCGAUUUUAAGACACGGGUAUGGGACACCCACCCCGAACCCAUACCCAAACCCGUCUCGAAUGUAGAAAAUUAUUUUAUGUUGAUAUGUAUGUUAUUUUGUUUGAUAAUUGUUAUGUUAUAAAAACUAUCAUUGAUAUUUAAAGGAGCAACUAAAUCAAUCGGUCUAACAAAUGUUAAAGUAAGCAUAUUGCUGGAUAAUGCAUUACAAAAUUUUUCUAAAGGUUGCAAAAAAUCUUAUAUUUUUUAUUAAAAAAAAUUAUUCAAUGCGGGGAUGAGGAUGGGGCGGGGAUACCCAAAUCAGUCGGGGACGGGGAUGAGGUUCAAUUUCCCAUCCCCGUUGGAUAUGGGUAGGGUAACGGGUAAAUAUAUUAAAAUCGGGUAUGAGGAAGGGGAAUGUAAAAUCCGUCCCCACCCUCCCCCAAUGCCAUGCCUAGUCAAUUCGUGUUUAUAAUUGAGUUAGGUUGGGGUAUACUACCUUUUAACUCGUGUUUAUAAUUGAGUUAGGUUGGGGUAUACUACCUUUUAAAAAAAAAAACUCAUGUUUUAAUAUGAUGUCAAAAUAAAGAAAACUUGUGUUUUAAUAUAUCAAAGAAAUACUAUCAUUUUGUCAGUUGAGCUAAUAGAACAAAAAGGAAUUUAACUUUUAAAAAAUUUGAUUAUUUUUUGAAGAGUCACAUUGGAUGUGAGAUGACUUGAAUAAAUAUUUAUAAGUGAUAAUAUACUAAUGUGAUAUUAAAGAUUUCUCCACGAUCCAUGAAACCACUUGCUCUCAAGCAUUUGUUAUUCGGCCACACAUCUUUCAUAUUCAUCACCAAAUCCAAUUGUGUUGUUUGUUAUUGUAAAAAAAAAAAAUAAUAAUAGUGUUGUUUGUUUUAAAAAGUGCGUUAAGGAUUCUACAUUUAAUGUGAUGUUUAAACAUAUGUUUAUAAAUAGAGAUUGACAAAUCGGUUUUGUAGAAUUUUGUUAUACCCAACAACAAAUUCUAAAAUAACAUUUAAUUUUUUUAUUUCUUAAAAUGUUUUCUAAAACUCUUGGUAACAUUUCUAUAUAGUAAAAUUGUCAAUGAAGAAAACAUUUACAAAAUACAAACAAAUGCAUGAAUUUGUUAACAUUUGUAUAGUAAAAUUCUCAAAGAAUAAAACAUUUGAAAAAUACAAACAAAUGCAUGAAUGAAUGAAUCUUACUACUAUUUUAAAAAAGAAAAAGAAAUGAAUGAAUUUGACUUUGUUGGUCGCCACCUCUAAAACCACACCACACUCCCCAUAAUACCCUCAAAAAAUUUCUCAAUUGACAAAAAUACCCUUCCCCCAACUACCACCACGUCUCUCUCUGUCUCUACCCAACAACAACCCCCAAAAUAACCAAACCCUUUCUUUCUUUCUUUCCCUUAUAAAACCCUCUCAUAACUUCUCAUACCCUCUCCAGUUCACGCCACCUUCUCUCAAAGCGUGACCAUUCAAAAACAUCAUAAAAUAAAAAAAACAUUCAAACACAACAAAAUCAUUCUGCAACAAACAAACAAACACAAACACAAUGUCUCUCUCUUCAACAUCUUCCACCUCUCUCAUUCCCACCAAAUCAUUACUCCAACCCACCAAACCAAACCCACCUUCAUUCCCCAUCGGGCUCAAACCCAUGCCCAAACCCAAACCCGGUUCAAUCCUCGCCGUUCACGCCGCUGAACCAGCAAAAAACCCGGUCCUCACCGAAAAGCCGAGCAAGCCUCAACCAACCACCAUCCCCCGCAAUGCAUCCACCAAAUGGACCAUUGACAGCUGGAAAUCCAAGAAGGCUCUUCAACUUCCUGAAUACCCGAGUCAGGAAGACCUUGAAGCGGUUCUCAAGACACUCGAUGCUUUCCCACCGAUUGUGUUUGCUGGUG